rnacentral:lncRNA from 1 species
AAGCUGUAUCUGUUGUAGAUAACUUGGGAAAUAAUGUUUUGUGUAUUGAUUCUACUAAUAAUAACUUGGAUAAAGCAUCUUUAUGGCAUUGUCGUCUUGGACAUAUAAGCAAGAAACGCAUAGGCCAACUCCAAAAGGAUGGAGUCUUGGAGUCGUUUGACCUAAAGUCAGAUGAUAGUUGCGAAUCAUGCUUACUUGGAAAAAUGACAAAGUCACCCUUCACAGGUUCGUGUGAGAGGGGUGAAGGUUUGUUGGACCUUAUACACACGGAUGUGUGUGGACCAUUCAAACAUGCCACAAGGGAUGCUAAUCGUUAUUAUUUGACUUUUACUGAUGAUUAUAGUAGAUAUGGAUAUGUCUACUUGAUCAAGCAUAAGUCAGAGACUUUCGAGAGGUUUAAGGAAUUUAAACAGGAAGUCGAGAAUCAAUUGGGCAGGAACAUUAAGAUGCUUCGAUCCGAUCGUGGUGGUGAGUAUCUUAGUUCAGAGUUCCUCGACUAUCUAAGGGAAUGUGGGAUAGUCUCACAAUUGACACCUCCCAGGACACCACAGUUGAAUGGUGUGGCUGAGAGGCGUAAUCGAACCUUGUUAGAUAUGGUUCGUUCCAUGAUGAGUCGAGCUACGCUACCAAUCUCAUUCUGGGGGUAUGCCUUAGAGACUGCCGCCCAUAUUCUUAAUCUAGUCCCUACAAAGAAAGUUGCCAAAACUCCUCACGAGAUGUGGACUGGUAAAGUACCUAAACUAGACCACAUCAAGAUUUGGGGUUGCGAGGCUUUCGUGAGACGCGAGACUCAUGAUAAGCUCGAACCUCGAAGCGAGAGGUGUAUUUUCAUCGGUUACCCACAGCGAUCCUUUGGUUACCUCUUCUACAGACCUAGUGACAAUGUGGUCUUUGUAGCAAGAAGAGGAGUCUUUCGAGAAAGAGAGUUUAUAAGCCAAGGAGACAGUGGGAGGCAAAUUGAUCUUGAAGAAAUUCAAGAAUCAAGCGGUGAAGGAACUUCAAACUCUAGCCCUCAACUUGAGGAGGAAACUCCUGUUGAGCCAAUUGACAAAUCUGUACCUCUGAGACGUUCCACGAGAGUUAGGAGUGCACCUGAGCAUUACUAUGGAUUCCAUAUUACUGCAGAAGGUGAGACACUUAUUAGUGAUGAGACACUAGUAAGUCAAGAUGACCCUAACAGCUACGAGGAAGCCAUGGCAGGCCCCGAGUCUGCUAAAUGGAAAGAGGCUAUGGAUAGCGAGAUACAAUCCAUGUAUGACAAUCAAGUUUGGAACUUGGUUGAAAAUGUACCAGGUCGUAAGACAGUAGGGUGCAAAUGGGUCUUCAAGAAGAAGACCGACAUGGAUGGUAAAGUACACACUUAUAAGGCUAGACUGGUUGCAAAGGGCUUCUCUCAAAUUCCUGGAGUGGAUUAUGAUGAGACCUUUUCUCCGGUAGCCAAGAUUAAGUCUAUUCGGGUUCUGUUAGCCAUAGCUGCAUUUCAUGACUAUGAAAUAUGGCAGAUGGAUGUCAAAACCGCUUUCCUUAAUGGAAAGUUGGCUGAAGAUGUUUACAUGAGUCAGCCAGAGGGUUUUGUCAGCAACGAGUACCCUAAUAGAGUGUGUAAGCUUGAGAAAUCCAUUUAUGGAUUGAAGCAAGCACCUCGCAGAUGGAAUCUUUGCUUUGAUGAAAAGGUCAAGGAAUUUGGCUUUUCUAGGAGUGAAGAUGAAUCUUGUGUGUAUGUCAAGGCUAGUGGGAGUAUAGUUAGCUUUUUGGUAUUGUAUGUGGAUGACAUACUACUCAUAGGAAACGACAUUCCAACCCUGCAGGAAGUAAAGUCCUGGCUUGGGAAGUGUUUCGCUAUGAAGGACCUUGGUGAAGCUGCCUAUAUUCUAGGGAUAAGAAUCUUGAGAGAUCGGAGUAAAAGACUAAUUGGACUUAGUCAGAGUACCUACUUGGAUAAGGUGCUGAAGAGAUUCAGCAUGCAGGAUUCCAAGAAAGGAGAGUUACCCAUCCAGAGUAACACCAGAUUGAGUAAGACACAAAGCCCUAGCACUGAGGCUGAGAUAGCAGAAAUGAGUCGAACACCUUACGCUUCGGCUGUAGGAUCGAUCAUGUAUGCUAUGACGUGUACUCGACCCGAUGUAGCUUUUGCCUUGAGCAUGGUUAGCAGGUAUCAGGCGAACCCUGGCAAGGCACACUGGACUGCGGUAAAGAAUAUCCUCAAGUACCUACGGAGGACUAAGGACUGGGUCCUUACCCUCGGUGGGAGUGAUGACUUGAGAGUUGUAGGGUAUAGUGAUGCUAGCUUCCAGACUGAUAGGGAUAAUUUCCGCUCUCAGUCGGGCUGGGUCUUUACCCUAAACGGAGGAGCAAUUUCUUGGAAGAGUUCCAAGCAAGAGACAGUGGCAGAUUCUACUUGUGAAUCAGAGUAUAUUGCAGCUAGCGAAGCAGCAAAGGAGGCGAUAUGGCUGAAGAACUUCAUUGGAGACCUUGGAGUUGUACCAGCUAUUAAAGAGCCAAUGGAAAUUUUCUGUGAUAGUGAAAGUGCUGUUGCCUUAGCCAAGGAACCAAGGGAUCAUGGGAGAUCCAGACACAUCGACAGAAAAUACCAUUUCAUUAGACAUCGGAUCGAAGAAGGACUCCUCGUGGCAAAGAGGGUAUCAUCGGAUGAGAACCCAGCAGAUCCCCUCACGAAGGGACUGAGUAGGGUUAAGCAUCUCCAGCAUGCUCGGAGCAUAGGGCUGAAGGAUGAUAUAAGUUUUAGUAGUUAGAUAACCCAGAAAUUUGUAAAGUGUAAUUGACAUUUGAUGAUGAAUAAAAGGUGUUUUAUUUAUGAGUAAAGUGUUGCUAUCUCUUGUCAAUCGUUUACUAUAUUUCUUUUGCAUGUUUUGACUUCCAGAAUAAUUUUGUUUGGUGUAACAUAUUAUUCAAACCUCCACAGUCGGUCAUAUGUCGGAAGUAGGUAUGAAUCAAGACUGUCAUGAUGGGUUGUAGAGGUCUAAGGUGUUGGACAAGGCUACAACAAUCAUGAGUGCUCAUAAGUUCUGAGCAUUGGACUCAACCCACGCUCACUGGAAUCACUUCAUGGAAUUCUAUCUCGAGUGAUCGUGAGACGGUAAUAUCAUAUAAGUCUUCAAACCUAGAGAUAUGAUUUGUUACUUACAAGUUGGUUAUGCAUUGACUGUACGAAACCGCAUUGGUAACUCGAUGUUAUAAAACGUACUUUUGUGUGUAAUUCAAUGAGUGGUAGAACAAACAUAUGAGUCGAAGUUUAUCUGUUCCUUCUUGGAUUAGAAGCUGAUAUCUGGGCCCCUCGAUGAUUUUGUUUUGACCCAUGUACCGGGCCCGGUCAGAACUAAGUUGAUGUGUUCAAUUAAGUUCUAUGUCAAACAAAUCGGAAAUCGGGAAACAAAUGCUGGACAAUAAGCAAGACAAUGUUCCAUGUAUUUGUCCGGCUGAUAUCUAGAACGGAGGAUUAUAUGAUCACUUAUCUUAAAUGGCGUACCAUCAUCUUCUCAGUUCCGAGAGACCUUGAAAGAGCUACGAUUGCCGGUCGGUUCCUGAAGUACUAGAGAUAUAGUUAUUAGACUUAUCCAAGUGGGAGACUGUUGGAUAAGGUGUCUAAGUCCAUAACUAUUUCGGGCUUGUACUUGACCCGACCCGGCAUGGUCCAUUUGGGUUGCAUGGCACCAUGCAAUUGGAUAGACUAAAUGAGAGAAAUAACACUUGGAGAUUAUUAAUAUAUUAUAAGUUCUAAUAUAUUAAUAAUAUUAUUUGAUUAGUUGAUCAAAGAAUUAAUUUAGAAUUAAUUAAGUGAUCAAAGGAUAACUAAUUAAAUAUAUGGGUUGAUUAUGUAAAUCAUCCAUAUCUUGUAUAGUGGGCUAAGAGGCUCCAUGGAUUAUCAAGUUGGGUUCUACCCAUAGGAUGCUCCAUGGAUGCUCCAUGGGAGUUACAAACCCAUGGGUCAUGGAAAUGAAGAGUCAUGACACAUUAGGGUUUACAUGGUGUAACCCUAGAUGUGCCAACACUAUAUAAGAGUCCCAUUCUCCACAAAAUUGGCUACACAAGUUGAACACUAAGAAACUAGAGGGCUUGGCCGAUUUUGAGAAGUGUGUGUUAUCUCAAGAGUCUUUCCAAGAGCAUUUGGUGUUGUGUGAAGCAUUUGAGGCAUCACACUUGGGGUGCUAGGCUCACAAGGUUUCAAGGAACACAAGCAACAACAAGGUAAGUUAUUCUAUCUAUGAUUCAAGUUAAAAUUGUUCCCCAUGUAUGCUAGAUAGGAAUAUAACCUUGGAAUUCAACUUUGCAUGAUAAUUAGACAAACAUAGAUCCAAGGUUAUUAGGGUUGCAUGUACACUUAGGAAGUGUUAGAAUGCUCAAAACCCAUCAAGACGAACUUUAGAUUCACUAGCAGACUAUAACCCAGACCUGAUCACACGUAUAUCGAAUCAACUCUAAUGCCAUCAUAAAUACCCGCUGUUACACAUGAAGGACCACUACCAUGAACAUAAUUGGGAGUCCUUAACUUCACAUUCACUCGCCACAAAGCCCAUACUGGAUCGAGACUAAUCCGAUUCUACCAAUACAGAACUAGCCCGAGAAGACUUCCACAAUUAUCCCGAAGGUUACCGCCACACGGGUCUAAUACAAAUCAAAAUUCUAUUUCACCAUUGGGGAGAAACAUACCCCAAAGACUUUCGGAACAUGAAAACACUGCAUAAGGGAAUGGGUGGCACGAUCCUAGCUUCGUAACUGUCACCUCUUGAAUCCCAUUCGGAGAAUUCCUGCUCCCUGAGGGUUCACAACUUAAUGUCUGUCCGACCAUUUUGGAUAACAUAAUCUGAGCAGCAACAGACAAAACCUUCAACGGCUGAUGCUCAACCUGAGAAUUACCAAUUCUCCCCUACUUAGAACACUAACCACCACCCACUGGUGUGAAACCCAACAUAACUUAGCUGACAAUCCCUGAUGCUUGAAUGAUCCCACUCUCAAAUCUUGAAGUCCAGAGAUAGAUGCUCUACUAAUACUUCAGCAACAAGCUAUUUCCCUUGGCGCUCUCAUACGCCAAUUAAUAACGAUUACUAAAAACCAUUGAAUCCUGAAAAUGUAGAAUAACUAUCCCGUAGGACUCUGUCCGCAACCUCCCAUAUAAUACCCUUCUUCCCAAAGUGCUCCGACAAAUCUCCCACCCUCGGCUCUAGAAAUACUAUCAAUCAGGGUUUCGCACCCUGACUUACUCACCAGCUCGAUCAUCCAUAUCUGAACUACGGUAGCCGAAGCAACCUCUGCCCUAAAUCGGGUUACAAACUACUCCCAAGACAUAGUCUCCAGUCCCCAAAAGUGCAAUAGAUCAUAGAAUCAAUCCUUACAGCCCGAUACAAGAGAUCCAAGUCGAACCGAACCUCACAACAUACUCAUGCCACAUCGACCCACCCACACUUACUAGCGCUGAAAUAUUGUCGCCAAUCCUGGUGACCAACUAACCCGAGCUGGAACACAACCUGAUCCUAGGGUCGCAAGCCUGCUCAAUGCUCAGAGCUCGAACAACUGGAAGAGUAUAAUCCUUGCCCUAGGAAACGACAUUCUUAUCCAUCUAUUAUCCAUUCUACUUCCAACUACAAAAAUCUAACUAAUCAUAAUCAUCGCCCCAUUUCAGAGUCCCUGCAACUCGAAUCCCGGCCUCAACCAUGACCCCUGAAGCCUCCAACUAGGAAACUAAUAUACUAACUUCUCCCGCUCAACCUACAGAGUGCAUCGAGUAUGGAACAUUUCCCCAAUCCCAUGUAACUACAGCCCACUGGUCACCAAAAUAUGUCCCUGUGAUAAGUCUCGGUACUGCAAGCUCGACUGUAACACCGAAAAUUUCAAACAAUUUUUCAUUUAAAAAUAAUCGUUUAAUUCUUAGAAACACUUGUUUAAAAUCUCAUUCAUAAUCGAAUUACAAAACAUGACUCCAUUUUCACUUGUAUAGAAAACCAGGAUCCUCAAAACAUGACUCUUUCUCUGGUGUGUACAAUCAAGCCGGUGCCGUCCCGUGGUCCUGAAAGAAACCUGAAACACAUACAUAAAACAAAACACUGUAAGCACGAAGCUUAGUGAGUUUCCCCAAAAUACCACACACAACACAUAUUAGCCACACGAGGCUAUAACUCUGUGGGUCCGUGGACCCUGCUCUGUGAACCCUCUGGUUCUAACUCUGUGAACCUUCCGGUUCUAACUCUAGGAACCCUCCGGUGCCAACUCUGAAAACAUGCACAACAUAAAUCACAUAGAAAUAAUGCAGUACAACACAUAACAUACAUAGCAUACAAAUACUCUGUCACAUAACUCUGGUUACCUACUCAAGGUAAAGUAUAGUGAGAAGACUCACCUGGAAAGCAGAAAGCAGAUAUCCCCACACUUGAAUCUCGAACUCGCCGCCGCCUAACACGUAAGGCAUAUACUCUCAUGAAUAUAACUCUCGAGACAAGAAUCAACCCUCUCAUGGCACCCUCUUAAGGAUAAAAUACUAUUUUACCCCUCUCUUGGCCCAAAGGCCACAUCGCUGACCAACCCCUAAAAGUCAACGGUCAACUCUUGGUCAAAGUCAAAGUCCUCAGUCAAAGUCAACCCUCCUGGUUGACCCUGCUCGCCGAGUCAACCCGUCGACUCGUCGAGUCCCCAUGCUCAGAACUUCCCCAAUCCGCGACUCAACUCACCGAGUCACCCCGAGACUCGCCGAGUCCCACAACUCUGAGUCCACUCGCACACAACUCACCGAGUCAUCCCUUGACUCGCCGAUUCUCGACUCAACCAGAAAAUAUUGGGACUCUUCGACAAGACUCGCCGAGUCCAACAACAGACUCGCCGAGUCUAAGGCUAUCUUCAACCUACUCGCCGAGUUGUUCAUACAACUCGCCGAGUUCCAGGCCAUCUUCAUCCAACUCGCCGAGUUGUUCUUCCAACUCGUCGAGUUCCAGCUCAUCAUCAAGCAACUCGUCGAGUCCACCCAUGUGACUCGCCGAGUACCACCGGUCUGAACUCAUACAGAAGCAUUCCAGGCCAUGUAAUUGAUCCAAAACAUAGAUCUAGCCUCCUACAACUCAUCCAUCACGUAAAGUGGCAAACUUUACAUGAAUCCAAAGAGAUCUAUGCAUUUUCACUCUAGGGUUUGGGACAAAAUAGCUCCAUCAACCACUCACAAACAGGGACUUUCAUGCAUUCCAAUCCUUCUCCAUUCCAGAUCUGAGGUAGCAACCUCAGAUCUAACCUCUAAACUCCAAUACAUCCAAGGAUAUGGUCUCUAACACCCCCAAAACGAUGCAUCUAAGAAAUAGCAGCUCAAAAACGAGAUAUUACCUCAAAGGAACGCCCCAACUGCAAUGAAACUCGAAUCCAAGCAAAGCCCCUUUGCUCCAAGCCUCUUACCCUUCAUGAUUUCCUCAACAAUUGCUUCUCCAAGCUUCCAAAUGCACUUGAUCCACUCACACACAAGGGUUAGGGUUUCUGGACUUGAGGAUUAGUAAGGAGGCUGGGGGAAUGGAUGUUAUGUUCUUUAUAUAGGGCUCAACCCCGAGAAUUAGGGUUUUCUCCACUCAGCGCCUAGUCGCCGAGUCCAUUACUCUGACUCGCCGAGUCGGCCACUUAACACGCGACCAAGUCGCGACUCUACUCGCCGAGUCCACACAUGGACUCGCCGAGUCGCUCUUUCCCAAUUUACUCUUUUAGCCCUUUAACUCUACUCUUGAUAUUUCGGGAUGUUACAUCGACCAGCUCCUUCCUCCUGCCGCAGUUACAGCUUUUGUAGCCGCUGCGGAGACCGUCCCUGUAAUGGCUGCAUAGCGCUCAGCGAAAUACUCAACCAUGACGGUCUUGAUAGACCCAAACAUCUCCGACAAUUUUUUUCCCGGACCAUCUCGAUCACCCCUCCCGGAUGAUCUCACUAACAAUCCUAUGACAAUACUGACGUAUCCUGACUGACAGGUCUCGAUCCUGACCUGGUUUCAGUCUCUAAAUGCCUUGUAAUCACCAUUCUGGCAAUACACCAGAAAGAUCUCGAAUAACCCAUAUGCUAACAGGGAACCAACUCACAACCAACCCUAGGCAUUGUGACUUCCUUGCUACGCGUAUGGGUCCUGUGCUUUCAGUAGUAUGGGCCCCUACUACCUUCCACACCUACCUAUAUUUGUCUCAAGUAUCACCACAACACCCUGACAGUAUACGUAAACAUAGCGAGCACUCAAUCCUCACUCCUAGAGGAAUGUUAGAUAUCUCAUAACCGGCCUCUCGGUCUCUCACAACCCACUUAUCCAUGAAACUUCCACCAACCUUACAGCAGUAGUGUAUGCUAGCCAUACAUAAUGCUGGACCCUAUAGACUUUCGAAUAUCCAAUCCUACCCUAAGCUCCCAAUCAAACAAGAAAAAAACAUAAGGCCACAUCAAACAUUCUCAGGCUAUAAGAUCAUAGUUAUGUAUAACCGUGAUGCCUACACUAGAUAACUACAGUAAUGGUGUCAAUUUCAUAUAAGAGAAACCCUAGGCUAGCAGGCAUCAUGUAAUCAGGCAAUUCUACCAUGCAAUUCCUGAAGAUCCCUAGCCUAGUACUAGCAUGCUGUUCUAACAUAUCACAUAAUCAAGUAAUUGUAUGGUAUUUUGGGGUCUACUUACUGGCUCCAGCUGAUCGUACACUUUGCAUCCUCUUUUAGUUAUUUUGAAAACCAUAUAAAAAACGUUUUGAAAAUCUUACCUUGAUUUGAGACUGGAUUCACACGAAUGUUCAUCCAAUUCACUCAAACCAAGGCUCUGAUACCAACUUGUAACAUCCAAAAUUUCGAACCAAUUUAAACUUUUAAAACAUAUCAAGUUCAUCAAAACGUUACAACUUUGUUUUCAAAAUAUAUUGAUUAUCAGAGUUUUUCCCAGAAACAUAAAUAUAAUAGGAGGAGCUGUACGUUCACGCCUUCGCCUUGCCGCGAUCCUCUGAUGUACCUGAAACAAUAAGCUGAAACUGUAAGCCCGAAAGCCUAGUGAGUUACCCCCAAAAUACUGAUACACAUACAGUCCACAUAGCAAUAUCAACAUUAGCAUAGAAUAUCAAUAAAACAUAACAGCAUAUACUGGGUCUACAGCUAAACAGGCUGGACUACCCCUGGGCCAUCAGUAUGAGUCUGGAAUGCCUAUCGAGCCCUCAGCUCGUAUCUGGAAUGCUCCCGAGUCCUCAGUAUGAGUCUGGAAUGCCUACCGGGCCCUCAACUCGUAUCUGGAAUGCCAUCGAGCCCUCAGUACGAGUCUGGAAUGCCUACCGGGCCCUCAACUCGUAUCUGGAAUGCCAUCGAGCCCUCAGUACGAGUCUGGAAUGCCUACCGGGCCCUCAACUCGUAUCUGGAAUGCCAUCGAGCCCUCAGUACGAGUCUGGAAUGCCUACCGGGCCCUCAGCUCAUAUCCGGCAUACUCCUGAGUCCUCAGUAUGAUUCUGGAAUGCCUACCGGGCCCUGAACUCAUAUCUGACAUACUCCUGAGUCCUCAGUAUGAGUUUGGAAUGCCUACCAGGCCCUCAGCUCAUAUCUGGCAUACUCCUGAGUCCUCAGUAUGAGUUUGGAAUGCCUACCGGGCCCUCAGCUCAUAUCUGGAAUACUCUAGGGUUUGUUGGCUACCGCAUGGAGCAGUACAACCUCAACCCAACCCACAUAACAUAUAACAUAACUACUGAGCAUGCAAUAAUCAUAUAACAUCACGGGUAGUCCUACAGGUCUACCUAACUGGCAUAACCAAUAACAUGCAACACAAACUCAUUCUCAACAUGAAACGCUACUAGGAUAACAUAUCCAAUGGGUCGGCCUUGUUGCCUUAGACCCCUUAGUAUAGUGAGGAUAACUCACCUUGCAACCACCGAACCGAAUCUCAAGAGCACAAUCCAGAAGCACCGCCUCAAACUCCAACACCUACAUCCAUCAAUAAUCAUUGGCAUAAAUAUCCAAAUUACCAUAAUACCCCUGAAGGUCAAGGUCAAAGUCAACCUUCCUGAUUGACUCUACUCGCUGAGCCAACCCGUCGACUCGCUGAGUUCUCAUAUCUAGAAAACUCUCCUAGCACGACUUAACUCACCGAGUCUCCCCAAGACUCGUCGAGUCCAACGAUUUCUGAGUUCCAUCCUGACCAACUCACUGAGUCCCCAACCGAAUCACUAAUCCAAGGCUUUAACUGAAAGAGGUUAGGUUCUGCAAGCAGACUCGCCGAGUCCAAGAACAGACUCGCCGAGCUCACGUCAAUAUUCAAUAGACUCGCCGAGUUGUUCUUCGAACUCGUCGAGUCCAAGCUCUUCAUCAUAAGACUCGACGAGUCACCCAUGCGACUCGCCAAGUUACGACGCGACUCAAUAUCUGAUCUCUAGCCCGACUCGCCGAGUCCAUACGUGCAUUCUCAUAAUCUCGAGUCACAGAGCUACUCCUUUGCUCCAAACAAUAGAUCUGGGUCUCUAGGGUCCAUUAGCAACAUAAAGUUGCCACCUUUACGUGCUUCUUGACCCAUAAUACCAAAAAACAAGCUAGAAAGGGACUUAACUCUUGGGGAAGGGCUUUUGCAUAAAAACUAGAAAGUCUUUCUGCAUCAAUGAUCCAUAUAGAACUCGGAUAUGGAGUUUUAACUCCAGAUCUAACUUAUGCUUCAAGAUCUCAUCAAUAUUUCUCCAACCAAACCCUAAAACUCCAUGAAAAUGGAACUAGAAAGGAGAAGGCCAAGGAUAACGAUUCCUUACCUCCAAAAUGAUCUCCCACAGAAGUAUAAUACGGAUCUCUUCAAGUGUCCUUGAUCCAAUUUACUUCAAACUCUUCUCACAAAUGAAAUUAGGGCUUCUGGAUCUUAAAAGGGUAGAAAAGAGGCUAAGGGUGGGUUAUAAUGUGCUUUAUAUAGGGCACAACCCCCAGGAUUAUGGUUUUCUCCCUUCAUCACCAACUCGUCGAGUACAAGCCGCCGACUCGGCAAGUUGGCCAUUAAACCCGCGAAAAAUCCCGCUCCGACUCGGCGAGUAAGCUUGCCUACUCGUCGAGUCCUUUUCCUUAAAUUACAAUUUAAGCCCUUCAACAGCACCUCUGGAAUUUGGGGUGUUACAACUCUCCCACACUUAAAUUAGGCUUCGUCCUCGAAGCCUACUGCAAUAUACGCUUCAGGACAAACCCUUUGCACUGUAGACUCCGAUUUUCUCAAUCAACUCAUGCUCUUACAAACCCUACUUCUAUAUGCCUCUUGAAAUGGCUUAUUCGCACGUGGCAUCCUUGCCACUAUUCCAAGCUAACCAUCGGUCUUUCAACUCCAUAGCACCACAUAUCAGUCACAUAUCACCCGAUGAACAUCCCUUCAAAUCAGGAACACACCUUCACGCCCUGCGAACGCUAGAUACCACAAACACCCACUGAGCUCUGUCAAGACACUAAUCCAUCCUCCUUCACCCAUGAUUGGGGAUAACCGUAAUAACUUGCAACCUGGAACGUACCCUGUUUUCCCCUCUGAUUCUAUACCUCACGCGCUGAUAGGAUACCACAUCCUUCAACUCCAAUAGCCCAUCAACCAAACAUCUCGUGUAACCAGUUGUACCUGGCCCAAUCAGCCUCAGGCUGUAAUACUUGGCACGCCCAUAACGGGUUCAGACUACUCCCGAGUCUGUUAACUUGCUGUCUCACCUUCCUCUGUCCAAAUCUCCAAUCUGGACCCACUAUCCCCCUCCUCUUCCAAGGAGACUAAAAACAUGCAUGCGCAUCAUCCAACAUCGCCACAACCUCAACGGGCAUCCUACCCGUAAGUGCUUCGAUAUAUCUGGUACAACCCUAGUGCUUACUAUCAAUAACUGAAGUACUUUCGAUCAUCCAUUUACACUACUGCUUUCCAUUCAGAGGACCACACUCCUUCCGGAGCUACACACCUUUCUUUUCCAGGAAACCUACUCAACAACCCUUACCGCAUUACAAGUGCCACUGAGCUAAACUCCACUCUACACUAUCUAUGCGGUGCAACUGUUAUUCUUGAACUCCUAUAUACUCCGAUUCUGAUCACAUACUAACUAGGCCCACACACGGCCUCCAGCCAACUCCAUCAUCAUGAUCAAUAGUUGGGGCCACACCAUCUCGAUUACCAUUGCAUGGCGAAAUAUUCACUCAUUCUCCUCAUACUGAUCCAUUAACACAUACAGAGUCUUCAGCAUAACUAGACCGCUUUUCGAGGCCUUCAACCUAUCUGGACCACUCCCAGAACCUUCAGCAUGUCUGGACCGCCCACCUGGGCCUUCAGCCUGUCUGGACCACUCUCAAAGCCUUCAGCAUGGUCUGGAUUGCCUCUAAGCCCACAGCAUGAGUCUGGUAUACCCCACCUGGCCCUCAGCUCAUGACUAGAAUGCUACUGAUAAACUAUCAACCUUGUCCAAAAGAAAACCUAACCAACGUCCUUUACAACACCAACCCGUGCUACCAUGUUGAAAUCCCACUAUGCAUGAUCCACCUAUAGAUCAAGUUGCUUAUCCAAGCAAAAUCCUACAACCCUUGGUCGCAUUCGACCCCAGAAUAGAAUGAUAGACGAACUUUAGAUUCACUAGUAGACUAUAACCCAGACCUGAUCACACGUAUAUCGAAUUAACUCUAAUGCCAUCAUAAAUACCCGCCGUUACACAUGAAGGACCACUACUAUGAACAUAAUUGGGAGUCCUUAACUUCACAUUCACUCGCCACAAAGCCCAUACUGGAUCGAGACUAAUCCGAUUCUACCAAUACAGAACUAGCCCGAGAAGACUUCCACAAUUAUCCCGAAGGUUACCGCCACACGGGUCUAAUACAAAUCAAAAUUCUAUUUCACCAUUGGGGAGAAACAUACCCCAAAUACUUUCGGGACAUAAAAACACUGCAUAAGGGAAUGGGUGGCAUGAUCCUAGCUUCGUAACUGUCACCUCUUGAAUCCCAUUCGGAGAAUUCCUGCUCCCUGUGGGUUCACAACUUAAUGUCUGUCCGACCAUUUUGGAAAACAUAAUCUGAGCAGCAACAGACAAAACCUUCAAUGGAUGAUGCGCAACCUAAGAAUUACCAAUUCUCCCCUACUUAGAACACUAACCACCACCCACUAGUGUGAAACCCAAAAAAACUUAGCUGACAAUCCCUGAUGCUUGAAUGAUCCCACUCUCAAAUCUUGAAGUCCAGAGAUAGAUGCUCUACUAAUACUUCAGCAACAAGCUUUUUCCCUUGGCGCUCUUAUACGCCAAUUAAUAACGAUUACUAAAAACCAUUGAAUCCUGAAAAUGUCGAAUAACUAUCCCAUAGGACUCUAUCUGCAACCUCCCAUAUAAUACCCUUCUUCCCAAAGUGCUCCGACAAAUCUCCUACCCUCAGCUCUAGAAAUACUAUCAAUCAGGGUUUCGCACCCCGACUUACUCACCAGCUCGAUCAUCCAUAUCUAAACUACAGUAGCCGAAGCAACCUAUGCCCUAAACCGGGUUACAAACUACUCCCAAGACAUAGUCUCCAGUCCCCAAAAGUGCAAUAGAUCAUAGAAUCAAUCCUUACAGCCCGAUAUAAGAGAUCCAAGUCGAACCGGACCUCACAACAUACUCAUGCCACAUCGACCCACCCACGCUUACUAGCGUUGAAAUACUGUUGCCAAUCUUGGUGACCAACUAACCUGAGCUGGAACACAACCUGAACCUAGGGUCGCAAGCCUGCUCAAUGCUCAGAGCUCGAACAACUGGAAGAGUAUAAUCCUUGCCCUAGGAAACGACAUUCUUAUCCAUCUAUUAUCCGUUCUACUUCCAACUACAAAACUCUAACUGAUCAUAAUCAUCUCCCCCUUUCAGAGUCCCUGCAACUCGAAUCCUGGCCUCAAGCAUGACCCCUGAAGCCUCCAACUAGGAAACUAAUAUACUAACUUCUCCCGCUCAACCUGCAGUGUGCAUCGAGUAUGUAACAUUUCCCCAAUUCCAAGUAACUGCAGCCCACUGGUCACCAAAAUAUGCCCCAGUGACAAGUCUCGGUACUGCAAGCUCGACCAGCUCCUUCCUCCUGCCGCAGUUACAGCUUUUGUAGCCGCGGCGGCGACCGUCCCUGUAAUGGAUGCAUAGCACUCACCGAAAUACUCAACCAUGACGGUCUUGAUAGACCCAAACAUCUCUGACAAUUUUUUUCCCGGACCAUCUCGAUCACCCCCUCCCGGAUGAUCUCACUAACAAUCCUCUGACAAUACUGACGUAUCCUGACUGAUAGCUCUCGAUCCUGACAUGGCUUCAGUCUCAAAACGCCUUGUAAUCACCAUUCUAGCAAUACACCAGAAAGAUCUCGAAUAACCCAUAUGCUAACAGGGAACCAACUCCCAACCAACCCUAGGGGUUGUGACUUCCUUGCUACGCGUAUAGGUUCUGUGCUUUCAGUAGUAUGGGCCCCUACUACCUUCCACACCUACCCAUAUUUGUCUCAAGUAUCACCACAACACUCUGACAAUAUACGUAAACAUAGCGAGCGCUCAAUACUCACUCCUAGAGGAAUGUUGGAUAUCUCAUAACUGGCCUCCCGGCCUCUCACAACCCACCUAUCCAUGAAACUUCCACCACCCCAGCAGCACUAGUGUAUGCUAGCCAUACAUAAUGCUGGACCCUAUAGACUUUCGAAUAUCCAAUACCCUAAGCUCCCAAUUAAACAAGAACAUAACAUAAGGCCAAAUCAAACAUUCUCAGGCUAUAAGAUCUUAUUUAUGUAUAACCGUGAUGCCUACACUAGAUAACUACAGUAAUGAUGUCAAUUUCAUAUAAGAUAAACCCUAGGCUAGCAGGCAUCAUGUAAUCAGGCAAUUAUACCAUGCAAUUCUUGAAGAUCGCUAGCCUAGUACUAGCAUGCUGUUCUAACAUAUCACGUAAUCAAAUAACUGUAUGGUAUUUUGGGGUCUACUUACUGGGUCCGGCUGAUCGUAAACUUCGCAUCCUCUUUUAGUUAUUUUGAAAACCAUAUAAAAAAACAUUUUGAAAAUAUUACCUUGAUUUGAGACUGGAUUCACACGAAUGUUCAUCCAAUUCACUCAAACCAAGGCUCUGAUACCAACUUGUAACAUCCAAAAUUUCGAACCAAUUUAAACUUUUAAAACUUAUCAAGUUCAUCAAAACGUUACAACUUUGUUUUCAAAAUAUAUUGAUUAUCAGAGUUUUUCCUAGAAACAUAAACAUAAUAGGAGAAACUGUACGAUCACGCCUCCGCCUUGCCGCGAUACUCUGAUGUACCUGAAACAAUAAGCUGAAACUGUAAGCUCGAAAGCCUAGUGAGUUACCCCCAAAAUACUGAUACACAUACAGUCCACAUAGCAAUAUCAACAUUAGCAUAGAAUAUCAAUAAAACAUAACAGCAUAUACUGGGUCUACAGCUUAACAGGCUGGACUACCCCUGGGCCAUCAGUACGAGUCUGGAAUGCCUACCGAGCCUCAGCUCGUAUCUGGAAUGCUCCUGAGUCGUCAGUAUGAGUCUGGAAUGCCUACCGGGCCCUCAGCUCGUAUCUGGCAUACUCCUGAGUCCUCAGUAUGAGUCUGGAAUGCCUACCCGGCCCUCAGCUCAUAUCUGGCAUACUUCUGAGUCCUCUGUAUGAGUCUGGAAUGCCUACUGGGCCCUCAGCUCAUAUCUGGCAUACUCCCGAGUCCUCAGUAUGAGUCUGGAAUGCCUACCGGGCCCUCAACGCAUAUCUGGAAUACUUUAGGGGUUGUUGGCUACCGCAUGGAGCAGUGCAACCUCAACCUAACCCACAUAACAUAUAACAUAGCUACUAAGCAUACAAUAAUUAUAUAACAUCAUAGGUAGUCCUACAGGUCUACCUAACUGGCAUAACCACUAACAUGCAACACAAACUCAUUCUCAACAUGAAACACUACUAGGAUAACAUAUCCAAUGGGUCGGCCUUGGUGCCUUAGACCCCUUAGUAUAGUGAGGAUAACUCACCUUGCAACUGCCGAACCGAAUCACAAGAGCACAAUCCAGAAGCACCGCUUCAAACUCCAACACCUACAUCCAUCAAUAAUCAUUGGCAUAAAUAUCCAAAUUACCAUAAUACCCCUGAAGGUCAAGGUCAAAGUCAACCUUCCUGAUUAACUCUACUCGCCGAGUCAACCUGUCGACUAGCCGAGUUUUCAUAUCCAGAAAACUCUCAUAGCACGACUUAACUCGCCGAGUCGCCCUAAGACUCGUCGAGUCCAACAAUUUCUGAGUUCCAUCAUGACCAAAUCACUGAGUCCCCAACCGAAUCACUAAUCCAAGGCUUUAACUGAAAGUGGUUUGGUUUUGCGAGCAGACUCGCCGAGUCCAAAAACAGACUCGCCGAGUCCAAAAACAGACUCGCCGAGUUCACGACAAUCUUCAAUAAACUCGCCGAGUUGUUCUUCGAACUCGUCGAGUCCAAGCUCAUCAUCAUAAGACUCGCCGAGUCACCCAUGCGACUCGUCGAGUUACUACGCGACUCAAUAUCUAAUCUCUAGCCCUACUCGCCAAGUCAUCUCCCAGUCUCGCCGAGUCCAUACGUGCAUUCUCAUAAUCUCGAGUCAUAGAGCUACUCCUUUGCUCCAAAUAAGAGAUCUGGGUCUCUAGGGUCAAUUAGCAACAUAAAGUUGCCACCUUUACGUGCUUCUUGCCCCAUAAUACCAAAAACCAAGCUAGAAAGGGACUUAACUCUUGGGGAAGGGAUUUUGCAUAAAAACUAGAAAGUCUUUCUGCAUCAAUGAUCCAUAUAGAACUUUGAUCUGGAGUUUCAACUCCAGAUCUAACUCAUGCUUCAAGAUCUCAUCAAUAUUUCUCCAACCAAACCCUAAAACUCCAUGAAAAUGGAACUAGAAAGGAGAAGGCCAAGGAUAACGAUUCCUUACCUCCAAAAUGAUCUCCCACUGAAGUAGUCCGGAUCUAUUCAAGUCUCCUUGAUCCAAGCUUCUUGAUCUCCAAGAUCCUUUCACAAAUCACUCCAAUUUGCUUCCAAGUCUUCUCACAAACGAAAUUAGGGCUUCUGGAUCUCAAAAGGGUAGCAAAGAGGCUGAGGGUGGGUUAUAUUGUGCUUUAUAUAGGGGACAACCCCGGGAUUAGGGUUUUCUCCCUUCAGCACCAACUCGUCGAGUACAAGCCGCCGACUUGGCGAGUUGGCCACUUAAACCCGCGACAAAUCCCGCUCCGACUCGGCGAGUAAGCAUGUCUACUCGUCGUGUCCCUUUCCUUAAUUUACAAUUUAAGCCCUUCAACAACACCUCUGGAAUUUAGGGUGUUACAAAACCCAUGUGAAGCGUAAGAAAUCAUCUACAAUAACAAGUAUAAACUUACUGCCAUCGAUGCUUUCAGUAGCCGAAGGUCCACAUAAGUCAAUAUGUAGAAGUUCAAGAGGUUCAAUGAUCUUUGUGUUGAUAUGAGUAGGAUGACUCUUUCGACUUUUCUUUCCCAUUUCGCAUGCGGCGCAGAAGUGUUCCUUAUCAAACUUGAGAAGGGGAAGUCCUCGCACAUGAUCGCCAAACACCAGCUUGUUCAUAUCUUUGAAGUUCAUGUGUGAGAGCCUUCGGUGCCACAACCAACUUUCAUCUGAGUUUGCCUUCGUCAGUUGGCAUAUAGCUGGCUUUCCUUGUAUUGGGUUGAGAUUUAGAGGAUACAUCUCUCCUUUGCGUUUGGACUUAACAAAACUUUCUUCGUUUGCUUUUCUAUUAUCUUAGAACCCUCAUCAUUAAACGAAACCUUCAAGCCAGUUCCCACAACUAGUUGAGAGACACUGAUGAGAUUGUGCUGCAAUCCUUCUACAUAAGCUACUUUUCGUAUUGAGAAUUCACCAUUGGUGAUCAUCCCAUACCCUUUGAUCGUGCCAUAUGAGUUAUUCUCAUAUUUAACACAUCCAUCAUCCUUAAGUGACUGAAAUUCCCUUAGCUCUUCUCUCCUUCCUGUCAUGUGACGAGAGCAGUCACUGUCGAUAUACCAUUCAUCAUCAAAGUGCUCGUCACUGAUAACCUGCAAAGAUUCAGCAGACUUAGGAACCCAAUGUUUCUUGGGUCCUCGUGAGUCUUUUACAGAAUAUGGAAUUGCAAUCGAAAGAUCAACCAUGUAUGUUCUUUUUAUUAAAGUGGUUUCAUCUUUUCUUUUAAGGGUCUAGACUUUGAUUUUAUUUUCAUCUAUUUUUGGUUGUGGUGAUUCUGAUGAUUUACUUUUAGUUGGAAUUUUAGUUGAAUUUGUUGUGUUAGUCCUAGGGUUAGUUGACGUUUUCUCAAUGUGAGCUUCGUUAUUCGAGUUGAGCUUUCCUUUUCCUUUGAUAUCCUUCACCGAGUUAGGUUUUGAUGGGAAAUGAGGAGGAUGGGAUUUAGGACUGAAACUGGACUUUCAGUUCUGAGCAUUGGUAGAGUUAGGACCGAAUCUACCUUUUAGGUUUCGGCCCUUCUAAUUGCAUGACUGGCAGUGGUUGCAAGAAGGAGAUUUGACUCUUGACUUCUCGUUUACCUUGAGAUUGGUCGCCUUUUUAGAGUGAACAUAAUUAGGGUUUUAGGACUGCGAAAACUGUUUUCUCUCAUUGAGAUUCUUCUUGUAUCUCUUGUUCCUCUGCCUUUUCGGUUCAGCAAGUUGCUCUUGAUUCUUGUGAAUGUUCGCUCUAGAUUUCGGUUUUUCUUUGUAAGCUUCGGUUGUAGUUGAAGAUACACUGGAUGCUUUCUUUGGUUCGUUUGGUAUCUCUUUUGUGCUACUUGAGCUUGGUUUAUCGAAACUUGAAGGAUUAUUGAUAGGUUCAACCACGUAUCUUCCUUUGACCCUCCAUGAAGUUCGCUCCGAUAGACCAACCGUUUCGUCUACAUUGUCAAUUGGAGCAGACCAGAAGAAAUUAUCGGAACCUUCAACGUUAUCUUUAUCUACCAUGGAUAUCAAUUCUGCCGUUUGUUUCUUUGUUACUCCUUUAACAACAUAUACUUGGUUCAGCAUUGUUUUCACCCUUUGAUAGACAACCGCCUUUUCUUUGAGGAUUUUGGAUUUGUUCUUAAAUAAGCGAGCAAAAUCAACAGAAUUUUCAGGAAUGAGUGGUUUCGCUAACUCAGGUUCGCUCUUAAGAAAUUCUGAACAAUCGAUCUCAUCCUCUACUGAGAUUUUGCUCAUCUCACUGUAAUCAUCAAAUUCAGAAGUGGUUUCUAAAUUCAUUUUAUGUUUUGAACUUAAUUUGGCAUUUGAUGAGUCAAACUUUUGUAUGGUCUCAGUCUUGAUUUUUAAUUUGUCAUUUUCAUCUAGCAAAUUCCUAAGCAUGCAUUUAUGUUCUUUGGAUUCAAUAAAGGUCUCAGUUUUGUCUAGUCCAUAUUUGUAAGUUUCUGAAAUCUCAUCUGAUGACACAAUGGAUUCACAUUCAGCAAUGAUUUCAUCUUCCUUAAAUUCAAGGAAGGGCAAAAUCAUUUUGUGAAUCUUCCUACCAAUCUCACAGUCUAAGUGCAACUGAGUGAUGUUUGUGUAUAAACGUUUAGCUAUUAAACAAAAAACAUUCCUUUGUUUCAAAAACUUCAAAUUGUCAUGUUGUAAAUAAAUAAGUUCAUCCUUAUCCCUAACUAGCUCUGUUUCCUUCAGCUCUAUCCACAUCCUUCUUUCCUCACUCUUGGAAGUCACCCUGCUGAGUUGAUCAAUUAGGUUAGUAUUCGCUAGGCGUGUUUACAUUAGAAUACCACUUAAGUUAGAAAAAUUGAAUUUUAAUUCGUUUAAUUCUGUUUCAUAGUUUGUAACAGGUAUUUUAUGCGAUUCAAGUAUGGAUUGUACCUUCUUGAUCAACUGAUCGCAGUCAUUGAUCCUUUCACUCACAGGCUUGACAGCGAAGCAUUUGUCUUCCAUCAGCCUCACAUCAUCAUGCUCACCUUCGGUUCUAUAUCCCUUCAUCCUUGACACUCCAGCUGUCACCAUCAAGCAUCUUCCAGCUGACUCAGUAAGGUCUUCUCUCACCACAAAUUCUUUUCCAUGCAUAGGUCUACGUACCUCUUCAUCUUCAGAGUCUGUAGACCAUACCUCUACUCCACCUAACUCAUCAUCAUCAAUGUUCCCUUGCACAAUUAAAGCAUUCAGAGGACUGUUAGUUGCUUUCUUCUUCUUUAUCUCCUCCAGCUUUCGCAAGUAGUAGGCUUCGUCUUCUUCACCAUCCUUUUUCUUAGCCAUUUUUCUUAGCAUGCAGUCCUAGGCAAAAUGGUUUUUGCCGUGACAGUAGUUGCAAUCGUACCCAGAGUCUCCUGAAAGGUUUCUCUCCUUCUUUUCAUCGUCCUUUAGAGAAGUAUUAUUGGUUUCCUCUUUCGCUUUCUCUGAACUGUAGCUCCCCUGCUAGUUUCGGUUCUUGUUGGCUGGGAACUUUUUACGAGCAAACUUCUUUGGGUUUGUAACAAUCAUUGCAUAUUCUUCAUUGGUCAGGUCACAUUCUGACAUAUCCGAUUCUUCUUCUUCUUCUUCUACCACACUCAUUCCUUUAGAAAGAAGAGCCAAGGAUCCCACACCCGAAACUACCUUCACUUCCUUUGACACCACACUUUCAUGAGAUUUGAGAAUUCCUACCAACUUUGCCAACGAAUAACUUUUAAAUUGCUCCUGUGCCUUCAUAGUUGAGACCACAACCAUCCAUUCGGGUCUUAACCCAUUCAUAAAAGUAACUUUUUGUUCAAUCACUUCUCUUCCAAUUCCAUUCUUGAUCAUCUUGCUAAGCAAGUGGUUAAAUCGAUCGAAUGCUUGAAUGAGUUUCUCCUCAGGUUUUUGUUUGAAAGCACCGUACUCAAAGAGCAACAGAGUUUGAAUUGAGUGCUCUAGAUCCUCAUCAGUAGAAUAUAAUUCUUUUAGUCUAUCCCAUAUUUCUUUUGCAGUGGUGCAAGGACUUACUAGACGAAAUGUAUCAGCUUGCAAAGCGAAUCUGAUCAUUCUCAUGGCUUUAACGUUACAUAGCACCUUAUCUUUCUCAUCUUGAGGGAUAUUUUCUACGUCUAUCAGGAGUUGAUUGCACUCCUUUUGAGUAUUGACAAUAUGCGUUCCAGAGUGAACAAACGGACCCAAUGUUAUCGCCUCCCAGAUAAGAUAACCAUUAUCUUCAGAUCCAACGACGUAGUUUUAACACCGUAAAAUUUCAAAAAAAAAAUUCACAUUUUAAAAACAAUUUAAUUCACAAUAUUAUAAAACACAUUGUUUCUUAUAUUAAACAUAAGUCAAAAUUCCAAGAUCAUAACAUAUAAAUAAAACUCCGCGUGUGUACUGAUCAUGCCGGCGCCUUCCCGUGAUCCUCACUAGUACCUGAAACACAUAACACAAACACUGUAAGCAUGAAGCUUAGUGAGUUCCCCAAAAUACCACAUAUAGCACAUAUUAGCCACUCAAGGCUAUGACUCUGGUGGGCCCUUGGGCCCUAACUUUGUGGACCCCCUGGUCCUAGCUCUAUGGACCUUCCGGUCCUAACUCUGAUAUACUCACAGCAUAAAUCACAUAGAAAUAAUGCAGUGCAACACAUCACAUAGAUAGCACACAAGAUACUCUAUCACAUAACUCUGGUUACCUACGUAAGGUAAAGUAUAGUGAGAAGACUCACCUCGGAUGUCUCGGUAAUAUCUUGCUCGCGUAACUCUGAUCUAGCCUCUGCCUAAACACAUAAACGAUCAUCUCAAUUAAUAACGACUCUCCAUGAUAGACUAGAUCCUCACAUGUCCUCUAAGAAGGAAAAAAGACCAUUUUACCCUUUAAACAGUCCACAAGUCUAAUUGUUGACCAAACCCUAAAAGUCAACAAAAGUCAACGGUCAACCCUUUGACCAGACUCGCUGAGUGCACAAUUGUGAUUCGGCGAGUUCAGUCAUGAACUCAAGUCCUCUAAAUCCCCAAUGACUCACCGAGUCACUUCCCCAACUCAGCGAGUCACCAACUGUGUGAUUCAUGGGGAAAAACUAUCCUACUCGCCGAGUCUGCUCUUGGACUCGGCGAGUUCAUGCCAUGCUCAAACUCAAAUGACCUCCUGAGGUCAUAUAUGUUCCUCCAAUCCAUAGAUCUGGCCUUUCCAACCACUAUAAUCACAUAAAGGUCUGACCUUUACACUUAUGCAAUGACCAAAAAGCUUCUUUGGGUGAAAUAACCCCUAAAAUGGAAACCUAGGGACACAUCUCUAAUGGAGUAGCAAAAAGCAAUGUGAAUAGGACUCUCUGGACCUCUUAAGGUCCAGAUCUAAGAAGAAAUCCACCUUAGGACCUCACAUACUUCGAAUCCAGCCAAAGAAUGCACAAGAAAACCCUAGAUUCAACUAUAACACCAAAUACACGAGUUUGAGCGCAUAUUAGUACCUUUAGUAGCCUCCUCUGAUGAAAUGGAUGAUAGAUCUGAGCUCCUCAACCUUCCUUGUUUGUCCUCCUUGCUUCUUUCUUGUAAAAUCACACUUAGAAUGAUGAAAUAGCCCUCCUCUUGCACUACAAGCCUUCUCUCUGCUCUCUAGGGUUUCUCAGGGUCUGAUAGCCGCAAAUGGUGGCUAUAAAGGUCCUUAAAUAGGGCUCAGGCCCCGAGAAUUAGGGUUUCAUUAAACAACAUGGACUCGGCGAGUCCACGCAUGGACUCGCUGAGUCCGCCAUUAAAUCAGUCCAGCCAUGCGCGAUCCUACUCGGCGAGUAUGAGCGCCUACUCGCCGAGUCCGUCUCCAAAACUCAAUAUAAAUGCAUAAAAUAAGACACCUGGGAAUCCGGAUGUUACAGUAGUCUUAGAAGUGGUGCGUCCACACUUCAUAAUCUUGAGUAUAGAGAAUGGGAAUCCUAGUAGUGGAUCCAAUGCUGUUGGAGAUGUUGAUGGUAUUGGAUUGAGAGUCGUCGUGAGACAUGAUGAGCUUUUCUAAUCUCUGUUAGAAUCAGACUUGUAAACAUGAACUAAGGGUUUUAUCAAACACAAGAGACACUGUAACACCCCGAUUCUCAAGUAUUGAUUUAAAUAAGAAUUCUUUUGUUUCCAAGGUCUACUCGACGAGUUGGUUGCCCUACUCGUCGAGUAGCAGCGGGUUGGUUCACGAAUUUAGUGGCCUACUCACCGAGUUCAAGAAGGGACUCGACGAGUAGGAGCUGGUAGAUGAAACCCUAAAUCCUAGGGUUUUGCACCCUAUUUAAAGAAACACAACAUCCUUUGGCCUCUCUAUAGUCCAUUAAGAGUCUAGAAAGGCCCUAACUCGAGUGCGUGUGUGUUCUUUGGAGGUUUAAGCUUGGAGGGAAGUUUUUGGUGAAGAAAUCACUUGGGAAAGGGCUCUCCUGAAGGUAUUAGAUCGUUUUUCCCUUGGCUCAUUUUCUCCUAAACCCUUUUAUGCAUGAGUUUAGGAAAGGUUUCUUGUGUUUAAGCCAAGAUCUGAAGUAGUAACUUGAGAUCUAGACUUCCCUUGGCUUCUAGAUUCAUAAAGUCAUCGGAUUUGCCUAGUAUGAGCCUUCUCUCAAGGAUGUGACAUCAUUGCAAGCUUAGUUGUGCCAUUUUAGGGUCUUAAAGCCUUACAUGCAUGUAAAGUUUGCAACUUUACGUGAUAAGCAUGCCCAAGGAAGUUGGAUCUGCAAUUUGGGGCCUUGGCAUGGCUUAAAAAGUGUCUGCAUGGUUAAAGGGCUGAAGGGACUCGGCGAGUCAUAUGAAGAUAGGCAUUGAACUUGACGAGUUGGAUGAACAACUCGGCGAGCCCAAUGAAGAUUGCCAAAGACUCGACGAGUUGGAUGAACAACUCGACGAGUCGUUUAAUGUUUCCGCAAAUUAAUGAAUGCAUGUGAACCUGUCGAGUUGCAAGAAGGAAACCCGAUGAGUGGUCUUAGGGCUUCGAUCGCGAACCAUAGGAACUCGACGAGUAUCUCGAGGAACUCGGCGAGUAGCCGAGGGUACUCGACGAGUAAGGGUCAACAUGGACUGUUGACCUUGACUGUUGACUUUGACUUUGACCAAGGGGUUGACUAGUUGACUUAUGGGGUACCUUGGAAGAUUGAAAACUUAUGAGUAUGGUUCUAUUAUGAUAAUAGGUGGUGGAGUUGCAGUCAUGAUCUGAGAGUUGGAGUUUAGUUAGCGAGCCGACAUUUUCUAGGUGAGUUAUCCUCACUAUACUAAGGGGUCUAAGGCACCAAGGCCGGCCCAUUGGAUUUGAUAUCCUAGCAGUUAUUGAUAUGCUGAGUUGAGUUAGUGAUGUAUGCCAGUUGAUAUGCUAGUCGGGUAGAUUUGUAGGACUACCUGUGAUACUGUAUUAUUAUCUGUAUGUGCGUUAGUUAUGAUACAUGUUGAUAUGUUAUGUGGGAUGGGUUGAGGUGAGACUGCUUUGUGCGGUAAUCCAACAAACUCGGGAGAAUUCUAGUUACGGGCUAAGGGAGACUCGUACUAUGGGCUUGAUGGAAAGCCAGAUGUGAGCUGUGGGCCGGAAGCAAUCCAGACUCACACUGUAGGCCCAGGGGGGUAAUCCAGCCUAUAAGGUUGUGGACCCAUUUUAUGCUGUUUCAGUUUAUUAGGUUAUGAUGUUGCUGACAUGGUGAUGUGGACUGUAUGUGUAUCGGUAUUUGGGGGAACUCAUUAAGCUUUCGGGCUUACAGUUUCAAUUUAUUGUUUCAGGUACUUCAGGAGAUCGGGGCAAGGCUAAGGCGUGAUCGUAUAGCUCCUCACUUUUUAUGAAUUUGUUUCUGGGAUACUCUAAUAUGAUACUUUUUGGAAAACAAGUUUGUAAUGUUUAAUGGAUUUGAAAUGUUUUAAAAGUUUAAAUUGCCUCGAAUUUUUAUGGGUAUUACAAGUUGGUAUCAGAACCUUGGUUUGAGUGAAUUGGAGGAACAUUCGUGUGAAUCCAGUCUCAAAUCACGGAAGGGUUUUCAAGUGAUUUCUAAAAUGGUUUUCAAACUAAGUGAAAGAGGAUGCAAGGUGUACGAUCAGCUGGAGCCAGUAAGUAGAUCCCAAAAUACUGUAUAACUAUUUGAUUAUGUGAUAUGUUAGAACAACAUGCUAGUAAUAGGCUAGGGAUCUUCAGGAGUUGCAUGAUAGAAUUGCCUGAUUACAUGAUGCCUGCUAGCCUAGGUUUUUCCUUAUAUGAGAUUGACAUCAUUACUGUAGUUACUUGUGUAUGUAUCACGACUGUAUGUCAUCAAGAUCUUAUAGUCUGAGAAUGUUUAAUUCAACCUUAGGGUAGGAUCGGAUAUUCGAAAGUCUAUAGGGUCGACCGUUAUGGAUGGCUAGCCUACACUAGCACUGCAGGGUUGAUGGAAAUUUCAUGGAUGGGUGGGUCGUGAGAAGCCAUGAGGGAAGUCGUGAGGUGGUUUAGCAUUCCUCUAAGAAUGAGGGUUGGGCACUAGCUAUGUUAUGUAUAUUGUUAGGGUGUUGUGGUGAUACUUGGGACAAAUAUGGGUAGCUAUGGAAGGUAGUAUGGGCCCGUACUACUGAAAGCACAGGACCCAUACGCGUAGCAAGGAAAUCACAACCCCUAUGGAUUAGUCGGGAGUUGGUCCCCUAUUGUUAUGUGAUUAUCUGAUAUCUGUUGGUGUGUUUUCAGUAUGGUGAUGACGAGACGAUUUGUGACUGCAUCCGGGUCGGCAUCAGGAUCGGGGGACGGAGGCCAGGAGGUGCCGAUAGCACCUGAGCCUGUGGUACAGAUGGGGAUGGAUGAGCUAGAUGCCAGGAUUUGAGAGAUCCUGCAUGAUGAGGUUGCUGCUUUGUUCCGAGCGCAGCUACCAAAGAUGUUCGGGUCUAUUAAGACCACUAUGAUUGAGUAAUUUGACGAGCGUUACGCAUCCCUUGCAGAGACGGCUACCGCCGCAGCUGCAUCAGUUGUAACAAUGACAAGAAGAGGUGGAGCUAGACGGGGUUUCCAGUACCGGGACUUUGAUAACACGAAGCCCUCGAUGUUUGAUGGUACACAAGAUGAGAUUAGAGCUAUGAGGUGGUUGUCUGACGUGGAGGGUUGUUUCUUCACGUGUUCAUGCCCUACUGACCAAAAUUUCAGAUGUGCCCAGAACGUACUGAGGCCAGGGGCCAAGGAUUGGUGGAGAUUGACGACCAGAUUAUACACUGAUGAUCAGAGAGUUGCUGUUACUUGGGAGCAGUUUAGGGAGAUGUUCCACUCCCGCUUUGUUCCACGGGUGGAGCGGGAGCGGUUGGCUCAGGAGUUUUUGAGUUUGAGACAGGAUGGAGAGUUGGUGAUGGAGAUCACCUGUAUGUUUAUGGAGGGGGCGAUGUUCUGCCCAAAGUUUUCUUCCGAGUAGGCUCAGAUGACUCGUUAUUUGAGCAUGCUCAAGACUGACAUCCGUCAGUUUGUGUCCACCCAACGAUGUGAUACUCUGUUGGAGUUGCGAGAGGCUGCUAGGCGGCGUGAGUUGGAGAUCGAGCUACAUUUGAGGGAGCAGCGUCCGACCCCGACAUAGUCUCAGCCAGCGCCGAAGUGGUCUAUGACCGCUGAUUCUAGGGCUGGAGGUCAGCAGGGACGCACAUGUGGGAAGUGUGGUAGGAGUUAUUCUGGAAUGUGUCGAGCGGGUAGCGAGCGACACAGGUGUGGCAAGGAUGGGCAUUAUGCGAAGGAUUGCCGCCAAGGCCACCUGGUUUCAGGUAUGAGGUUAUGCUACCACUGUGAUCAAGUUGGCCAUGUGAAGACCAACUGCCCAUUGCUAGCCGCCAAGCCGGCAUAGGUUCCAACGCCAACUACUUUAAGGAUCACUGAUGGGAGGCCUGUUAAGGCCGAGCCUCCAAAGGCUCAGGAGCGUGCUUUCCAGCUUAUGGCAGAGGAGGCCAGAGCAGCACCAGAUGUGGUUGCUAGUAUGUCUCUUUCCUUUACCUUGUUUAUUAUGUCUAUGUUAUGCUUAUAUGUUGUACAUGUGCUUAGGUAUGUUUUUAGUAAACUCCUUGCCUGCUUUAGUUUUAUUUGACUCGGGGGCGAGUCGGUCUUUCAUUUCUCAGACGUUCAGUAGGGGGUUUGGUGUACUAGUUGACGAGCUAGAGUGUCCUUGCGAGUUUCUAUCGCUAAUGAACAUGGGUACCGAGGAUGUCAGUUGGAGAUCUUCGAAGUGGUCUUUCCGAUAGAUUUAAUUUCGAUUCCCAUGGGGGAAGUAUGCGUGAUUGUUGGUAUGGAUUGGCUUAGUCGUUUUGGUGCCAUGAUAGAUUGCGAGGGCCAGAGAGUGGUAGUUCGAACCCCAAGUGAGGGAGAACUGAUUGUAUAUGGCGAGGGCAACAUAGUGGGGUCGGGGUUCUAUUCAGCUGCCAGAGCUCGACAGUGUAUUCGGCACGGAUCUGCGGGUUACUUAGCGUACAUGGUGGAUACGCGAGUUAGAGACCAGAUUUCAGUUUUAGAGGUUACAGUGGUCUGGGAUUUUGCAGACGUGUUUCCGGAGGAGUUGCAAGGGAUACAUCCGGAGAGGUAGGUCGAGUUUCGGAUCGACUUGGUGCCGGGUGCGGCUCCUAUUACCAAGGCGCCGUACCGUUUGGCACCACCCAAGAUGCAAGAGUUGUCUUCAUAGCUGCAGGAAUUGUUGGGCAAGCAAUUCAUUUAACCUAGCAGUUCUCCCUGGGGAGCACCGAUCCUCUUCGUAAGGAAGAAGGAUGGAUCGCACCGGAUGUGCGUUGACUAUAGGGAGUUGAACAAGUUGACGGUGAAGAACCGUUAUCCACUCCCGAGGAUAGAUAUUCUAUUCGACCAGUUACAGGAUGCAUCUUGGUUCUCCAAUAUUGACUUGAUAUCGAGGUAUCAACAGGUCCAGGUUAGAGAUGAGGACGUUUAGAAGACCGCGUUUCAGACGCGUUAUGGGCACUAUGAGUUUGUGGUGAUGCCGUUUGGGCUCAAUAACGUGCUGAAAAUAUUCAUGGACCUGAUGAAUCGGGUCUACAGACUGAUGUUUGAUCGCUCGGUCAUCAUGGUCAUUGAUGAUAUCUUGGUGUAUUCCAAGACCCGAGAGCAGCACGAGGAGCACCUUAGGGAGCUGUUGGAGGUUCUGAGAUGGGAACGGCUGUAUGCCAAGUUCUCGAUGUGCAAGUUUUGGUUACAAGGUAGACCAGACUUCUUGAAAUUGCUAAUUUUGAAAAGAGGUGGUUAAUGUCCCAGCUCAUUAAACAUGUGCAUUAUCUGAGCACUUGUGAAUUGAAAGAAUGGUGAUGAAUUUGGAAUUGCCAAUAUUUGAGUAAAGGUCUUCUUUGUAAGUCUCACUCGUUUGUCAUUCACCAAAUUAAAUGUGAUGACAUCAGUGGCUUUGUUGUAAGAUGCAGUAGAACCCACCAUUGACAACCAGGACAACGAAACUUCAAAGGCAUUAAGCAUGGCAGUUGCAAGACCUGAAUUUUGAAGAGCAGCAAUCAGCAUCUUGAGUUCAUAUGGAUACAAUGAGAAAUUGCCUUUAACCUGAUAGUUAGUGCUUUGAAUCUUCAUAAUCGAUUGAGAAACAACUUCUUCAGUAGUAGUAUUUUAAGUAUCAACCAUUUUCGAAAAGUGAACAGAAAUUUUGAAGAACAGAGAAUUAGGGCUUUAUGAUAUUUUGAGAUUUUGAACGUGUAAGUAUAAAAGGAUAUAUAAACAGCCUUUUAUAUGUUUCUUGUAAAUUUGAAAUUGAAACGGUUUUAGCAUUAAAUGAGAUAUGACGUGGCUCUUUGAAACUCGCACCCUAUAGCCGAUAAACUAGCCAUGUGUGAAAAAGCGACCAUCACAUCACCUUGAAACCCGGAAGGAAUACAAAGAGUCUUGUCAAACAACCUGUUCGUACUAUUCAAUGGAAUUGUAACCGCCACUAGCCUUUGUUAGGAGGUAAGGCUCUUUCACUUUUAGGAUGAAAAGCGAAGUCAUUUGCCAGAGUGUCGAAAUCAUCAGCCUGAGUUGGUAAUACUCAGAACCUCAAGGAUUUCGUGAGUGCAGUGUGCCAAAGAAAUAAGAUGAGAAGCAAACUUAACGAAAAUUUGGAGUGUGUGAUGUCGAAAAGAAAAUUUUUGACACAAAGGCAGGUAAACCCCGGGCAAAGGUUGCUUCAUUAAUCAUCAAGAGAGAUGAUCAACUGCUUGUGCGGUUUGCCGUGAAAUACAUUCUAAUACUUAUAAAGAAGUAUCGAAGGGCUUCUUUUUCAAGGUUUCGUGGGUGGCUUAAUAUUUCAAUAUAUAUCAACCUAAACAUAAGGUGAUUAAUUGUAAUCGAAAUUACCUGUAUGACCAGUGUAGUCAGUGACAAGUAUGCUUUGGAUAAAAGUGAAUGUGACAGUUGAAAGAGAAGAUACUCACACGGAAAUCAUAUUCAAAGAAAAAUAUUGUUCAUCUGGAUCUUCUUGAGAAACAAAUGUCGCGGGUUUCGAAUAUUUGAUCAAGACCACUUAUAACGAAAGAAUAUGAUUUAGAGCAUCAAACAUUGGUACAUAAACAAAUGUUUCAUACAAAUCUGGAACAUAGUUCCCCGUCAAUUCCUUAACAAAUUUAGAAAAUUGGGUUUCACUUUCAUCACGGCCUCAUGAUGUCAGAUCAUUAACACAUAGUGUUAAUAUGUCUAAGUCUCGACUGGUUUGAUCAAAUACCUAUUGGACAUAUGUAAUUGUGUGUGAAAAGUGUAAGAACUUUGGGAGGAAAAAGAUUGGUUUGAAGAACUCAAUUGUACCUCUGUUGUGUUUGGACCAAAUAGAAAACUCUUAACUAAUUUGAGAAGAGCUAGGUAGCUUAGAAGACUAAUGUGAAUACAAGCCUGAUUUGGAAGAAAUAUUUCGUAUGAAAAGAUUUCAUUAAGGCUUUCAAAAUCACACAUUGAGUAAAUGGAGGCUUGGGUCGACUUGCUGCAGCAUGCUUCUAGGGACAUCCUAACUAUUACAAUAUUUCGAAAGUAUACCUUGUCCUAGAAAUGCUAGCAUGCAUCUUGAAAGAUAUUCUUGAUUUCUAUACAUUAGAAGGAAAACAAAGUACAAAAUAACAAACAUCUAAAGAAAAAUAUUUUUGGUCUCUUGUAUUUUUGAAAAGAAAGAAAAUCUUUUUGGGUUUUUGAAAUUUUCGAAAAUUAAAACAAAUAACAUAAGAAAAUCUUUUUGGUUUUUCAAAUUUUUCAAAAUAAAAAAAAUGAAAAAUAAAAUUUUACCAAACUAUCGAAUAUUUUCUUUCCCAAAUGUCGAAAGCGAAGCAUAUCGAAGCGUUGACUAUGAACAGUAACCGUUGACUUUGACAGUUGUCAAUUUGCGCUAUUCUUUCGAAUCAUUCUUACAAACAGACUUCCCUUCGACCAUUCCCAAACCUGUCAAAAUUCUAACAAACGAUUUUUCAUCCAAUGGUUUUGUAAAAAUAUCAGCAAGCUGAUCAGUAGUUUUCACAAAAUGAACUUCGAUAUUGCCAUCUUCAACAUGAUCUUUUAUGAAAUGAUAAUGAAGAGCUAUAUGCUUGGUUUUCGAAUGUUGCACAGGAUUGUGACAAAUACGAAUUGCACUUUGGGAAUCACAAUACAACGGUAUUUUCUUCAUAUUAAUUGCAUAAUAACGUAAUUGACUUUGUAUCCAAAUAAUUUGUGAUGUGCAAGCUGCAGCAGCAACAUAUUCUGCUUCUGCUGUGGAAAUCGAAACACAUGUUUGCUUUUUCGAUUGCCAGCUUACCAACUUCCCAUCAAGCAAUUGACAUCCGUCACUAGCGCUUUUUCUAUCCAAAUUGCAACCUCCCAAGUCAACAUCCGAAGAUGCUUGAAUGAAGAAUCCGGUUUCGAAGGAUACCACUUUCCUAACGAAAUUGUUCCUUUGAGAUAAUGAAAAAUAUUCUUGACUGUAGUGAGAUGUGGUUCUCGUGGAUUCAACUGAUACCUAGCACAAUUACAAACAUAAAACAUGAUAUCAAGUCUACUUGCUGUGAGAUAAAGUAACGAACCUAUCAUGCUUCUGUAAAUAGUCAAGUCAACAACAAGUUUAUCUAACGAAGGUGUCAGCUUAGUGCCAGUUGCCAUUGGUACUCGUAACUUUGUGCUAUUCGUUAAUCCAAUUUUUUCUAGCAAAUUCUAGGUAUAUUUUUCUUGGUUGAUGAAAAUUCCUUCUCUCUUUUGACUAAUAUUCAUACCAAGAAAUUAUUGAUUUUUCUCAUCAUACUCAUCUCAAAUUUAGUUUUCAUCAGAUUUUCGAAUUCUUUAGACAAAGCAGGGUCAGUAGAGCCAAAAAUAAUAUCAUCAAGAUAAAUUUGAACAAGCAUUAGACGAUUCCCAACUUUCUUUCGAAAUAAUGUGGGGUCAACAGAUCCUUGUUUAAAUUUCGAUUGUUUCAAGAAAGAAGUUAGAGUUGCAUACCAGGCUCGUGGUGCUUGUUUUAACCCAUAAACCGCCUUAUCUAAAAUAUAACAAUAAUCAGGAUGUUCUUCAUUUAUAUAACAAUAAUCAGAUUGUUCUUCAUUUAUAAAACCUGGUUGUUCCACAUACACAGUCUCUUCUAGAUCUCCAUUAAAAAAAUGCACAUUUCAUAUCCAUUUGAUAGACAUUGAAAUCUUUGUGAGCCACAUAAGCCAAAAUAUUCGAAUUGCCUCGAGUCUUGCGACAGGGGCGAAAGUUUCUUCAUAGUCUAUUCCUUCUUGUUGUGAAUAACCUUUUACAAUAAGCCUGAAUUUAUUUCGAAUAAUAUUUCCAUCCUUGUCGGUUUUAUUUUUGAAUAUCUAUUUUAAUCUGAUAAUUGAAACAUUUUCAGGUUUAGGAAUUAACCUCCAAACCUUGUUUCUUUCAAACUCAGCCAAUUCAGAUUGCAUUGCAACAACCCAAUCUGAGUGUUCUAUCACACCCCCAAACCAGAACGGCGGAAACGUUCGGGGGCGGAGGACGUCAUAUUCAGUAUCAUAACAGUUCAUAGAAAGGAAAGUACACACCACCAUACAUAUAUAAAGGUUUAAAAAUGUUUACAUCAUUGUAUUCUUUACAUGUUCAAAAGAUAAAUGCAUAAACAUCUUUCAAAAGAAAUAAUUAACGCCAGCGCGUUAAUCUCCAAAAGUUGGUUUCCAAACCUGUUUAACGGUUCCCUGAGAAUACAAGUUAAUUCAAAGAAAAAGUGUCAACAAUUAAGUUGGUGAGUUCAUAAUUGAUUUAGAAACAUUGAAUGCCAUUCCAAAAUGAGUGUAUAAUUUCCAAGAAAAUCCCUUAUUUUAUUAUAAAAGUAUGUAGUGCAUGAGAGUAUUUGUGCUGAAAAACGUAGAUAGUUGAACCAAGAAAAUCCCUUAUUUUCCUAAUAGUUGUUUGUUUAAUGUCCAAGACUAACAAUUGGAAGCAAUCCACAUGCUUUAGAAGAUUUUAAACAUAGAUUUAUAUAACAAACCUAUCAGAAGAUUUCAGUUUGGAUAAUGAAUAACUGUAGUAGCUACUCAUUCAUCAGUCAAAAGUACUAUAAUAGUUGUGUAUCCGAUGAGUUUUAUAACCAUACUAAACAUAAUAUGCCUGUAGCGACGUUCUUCAGGCGUCGUAGCGUUAUGAAAACUGUCACCCCAAAAGACGGACUGUAGCUAACAGUCAGGGCGCGGGAUCAUGACUUCCCGUAUAGAUCUAUACACAUUUGACACGUUCUCCGAACGGGAGACUCUGGUUAUAGACAGGACUUGUAGCGAUACCUUUUAACAAAAAGGCAGUAUUUGAAGAUGUACACGUCUCAUGGAUUCUCAACUAAGUCUGUAUUAAAGUAAUAGUUUUGUGUGCAAAGUUUAUCCUUUUUCACAAUGUUUGACAAAGCAUAAAUCAUAAGUUUUUAGAAUGUAUAAAAUGGUUUAGCAACGAAGGAUACUUUGGAAUUACUAAAUACUUUGUAUAAAUCUAGUGCAUGUGAAGUAUGACAAAAGUUUUCACAUAAUAGUACUAAAUCACAAGUGAUUCAUUUGAUAAUGACGCGUACAGUGAAAUUUUAUGAAAUACACGAUAAUAACCGAAUGUUUACUUGUAUUCCUCCCCUAAAAGAGUAUAAAAGCAUUUAAAAUGUAUUUAAAGUGUGUUUGAAGGGAAUAUGAACUCACUUGGAAGUUUGAAGAUAGCUAGAUGGAAAACCGGGCAGAGUUUCGUCUCGGGAAACGGAUUUUUCUCGGGAUUCUCGGGAAUCUCGGGAGUAAAAUCGACCCUCGGGACUUGAGCAAAAAGACCAGAGCUUCGGGUUUGAACGGGCACGGAAAACGAGGCAAGAUUGUGAGAGAGAGGAGAGAAAUGAGCAUUUUUCUCGGAAGCCCUCGCAUUCUAUUUAUAGGAAGGCUGAACCACCUCCGAACGCGGGGCGUACGNUGAACCGCCUCGGUACGCGGGGCGUAUGCUCGUACGCAGCGCGUACGUGUACGUCAUGCAUGACCGAGUCCUCGACUGCGUGAGGACGCGUACGUCGUUUCUCUGAUGAUCUCCGGACCAGUGAGGGUGCUAUUAGGGACGAGAACUUUUGCCAAUUGCGUGUCACCCACUUCCGCCCAGCACAGAGGUGAUCUGCACUUACGGUCGUAAAGGGCUUCAUAUGGAGCAGUCUUGAUACCAGUAUGAUAACUAUUGUUAUAAGAGAACUCGACCAAAGGUAAGUGAACAUCCCAUGCCUUACCAAAGUCGAUUACACAUGCUCGCAACAUGUCUUCCAAGGUUUGGAUCGUCCUCUCACUCUGUCCGUCAGUUUGUGGGUGGUAUGCUGUACUCAUAUCCAACCUUGUUCCCAUGGAUUUUUGCAAUGAUUGCCAGAAUCUGGAAGUGAAUCUGCUGUCUCUAUCUGAAAUGAUGGACAUCGGUACUCCAUGAAGUCGUACGAUCUCCCGGAUGUAGGUUCUUGAUAGUUUUUCCAUCCUAUCAGUUUCCUUGAUCGGUAAGAAAUGGGCUGACUUGGUUAAUCUGUCGACGAUUACCCAAAUAGUAUCUUGGCCACUCUGAGUUUUGGGCAGUUUGGUUAUGAAGUCCAUGGAAAUCUGCUCCCAUUUCCACUCAGGUAUUUCAGGUUGUUGGAGUAGACCUGAGGGUUUCUGGUGUUCUAUUUUUAUUUUGGCGCAAGUCAAACACUUGCUCACAUAGGUAGCAAUCUCCGCUUUCAUGUUUGGCCACCAGUAGAGUUGCUUGAGGUCUAGAUACAUCUUGUCUGACCCUGGGUGUACGGAGUAUGGAGUCCUAUGUGCCUCGCUCAUAACCACCUCUCUGAAUCCACCAAACUUGGGUGUCCAUAUCCGGUUCAUGAGGUAGCGUGCUCCAUCACUCUUGAUUUCUAAGUUCUUGUCCAUUCCCCUAAGGGCCUCACCUGUCACGUUUUCGGGUUUCAAGGCCUCUAUUUGAGCUUCCUUGACUUGCGCUGACAGGUGCGAAUGGAUCGACAUGGCUAAUGACUUCACUCUUCGGCCAGAGUACUCCUUUCGACUAAGGGCAUCGGCCACGACGUUUGCCUUUCCCGGAUGAUAGCGAAUCUCACAUUCGUAGUCGUUGAGCAAUUCGACCCAACGUCGCUGUCUCAUGUUUAACUCCUUCUGGUCGAAGAUGUGUUGGAGGCUCUUGUGGUCUGUAAAGAUAGUGCACUUGGUACCGUAUAGGUAGUGCCUCCAGAUUUUAAGAGCGAAGACCACCGCUCCAAGUUCUAAGUCAUGAGUGGUGUAAUUGACCUCAUGCGUUUUCAGUUGUCGUGAGGCAUAUGCAAUAACCUUUCCCCUCUGCAUUAGCACACAGCCCAGUCCUUGCUUCGAAGCGUCGCAAUACACCACAAAAUCUUCGGUCCCCUCUGGAAGAGAAAGGAUGGGUGCACUGCAAAGGGCCUGUUUCAAAGUCUGAAAUGCAGUAUCUUGCUUUUCUCCCCAGUUGUAGGUCACACCUUUCUGAGUUUAAGCGGUAAGAGGCUUCGUGAUGCUGGAGAAAUUUUGAAUGAAUCUUCGAUAAUAACCAGCCAGACCUAGAAACUGGCGAAUUUCGGUUGGUGUUGUUGGUGCAGACCAGUUUUCGAUAGCCUUGAUUUUUGCGGGGUCCACGUGGAUUCCUUCCUUGCUGACCACGUGACCGAGGAAGUCCACCUUUCUAAUCCAAAACUCACAUUUUGAGAAUUUUGCAUAAAGUCUCUCAGUCCGUAACGUCUCUAAGACUUGUCUCAGGUGUUGACUAUGUUCUUCUUUAUUCUUUGAAUAAAUGAGUAUGUCAUCUAUGAAUACUAUCACAAAUUUAUCCAGGAAUGGACGACAUACCCGAUUCAUUAGAUCCAUGAAUACGGCCGGGGCAUUGGUUAGUCCGUACGGCAUCACUACGAAUUCGUAAUGUCCGUACCUCGUACGGAAGGCCGUCUUGGGAACAUCACUCUCCAGGACUCGUAGCUGGUGAUACCCNUUAUCUGACGUCGGUUUUUGCCAGACUUUUUACCGCUGAAAUACCAUUGUCGAGACCUUCGAUUCUCGUUUAGGUCAUUCCGGCCAAAAGUCGCUCGAUCUCCGAUUCGAGUUUUUAGCUGUCUGCUGCUAAGCUGAACUUGGAAAAAUCUUAACUUCAAUAUGUGAAGCCGGAUUUGGGCAUUCUUUUUACGUACGAUCCCGGUUUAAUGAUAUUAAACAUAGUAGGUAGUUAAAUAGAAACUUUUUGGACAUUUUAUUAUCAAAGUUAAUUUCUUUAACUCAAAAGUGGUUACAAUACUUGACUUAUUAGGCCAUUACGAAGAGUUGAAAUAUCGGGUUGUUACAUGUUCCAUCUCAACCUUAAUGGUUUUUGGUUCAAUUUUCGAAAUGAACACAUUAAACAUACAAAACUCUUGAUGUUCAUUUAGCACCUCAUUCUUUGCUCGAAUUUGAGCUCUAGUCAAAACACCUUCUUGUGGAUUUCCAAUGACUUGUUAUUUUGGAUGAUCUCUUUUCCAUUUUUCCAAAGGUAGAUAUGAUGGAUCAAAAUCCAAUGGCGCAUCUUCAAAUAAGUCAUCAUUUUCGGAACCUGCAAUAGAACAUUCGUCAUUAGAAUCAUGAAAAUUUUCAAUAUGACCAGAAUUCAAUUCUAUUGGAUCAUUUUGUUCCCUCUCGAUAUUUACUUCAAUUGGAUGCCCCCUCAACAUGAUGCCCCCCCUCAACAUCCUCAUUCGUACUCCCUUUCUCCCCUUCGAAAGGAUGCUGCCCCUCAACCGGAGUAUUCAAAUCCAAGUGCUCCCCCUCCACUGGAUUAUUUUGCAGACUUUCGCCUAUAACUAGAGAGUUCGAUGUUGAAUGCAUAUCCAAAUCACAUUGAGUGAAUGUCAUAUCAUCACUAUGCUUAGUAGAUUCAGGAAGAUGAUUAUCGGGUGCAUUAAUUUCAGCAUCACCAACAUUAUCUGCAAUACCAAAAAUUAAAUCAUAAUCAACAUACAUCGAAUUUGAAAUAUAAGAUUCACAAUUUGACUCAUUAAGAAUAGGAAGAUUGUCAAAAUGCUUUUCAACUUGUAUAACAUAAUGAUCAUCAAACGUAAGAUUAAACGUUUCUUCCAUUUUUCAUGUUCGUUUGUUCAACACUUGAUAUACAAACGAAUUAUGUGAAUAUCCCAAGAAAAUUCCUUCAUCUGCUUUUGCUUGAAAUUUCAAAAUAUUAUCCUUGAGAUUCAUAAUAAAGCACCUUCAUCCAAAAACAUGAAAGAAUUUGACAUUAGGUUGACGAUUGUUUAUUAUUUCGUAAGGAGUUAUGUUGAAACGACGAUGAAUAGAUGAUAUGUUUUGAGUAAAACAUGUUGUAGAAACGGCUUCUGCCCAAAGAUAUUGAUGAAGAUUCACAUAUGCCAGCAUGGUUUGCACUUCUUCACAAAGUGAACAAUUUUUCCUUUCGACCACACCAUUUUGUCAAGGUGUAUAUGGUGAAGAGAAAUUAUGCGAAAUUCCUUUGUCCACCAAAAACGAAUCAAUAACAUUGUUCUUAAAUUCAGACCCAUGAACUCCUUUGAUUUUUUUGAACAAUCUUCUUUAAACUUGUUUCCAUCUUUUUGAUAAAGUCAAUCAUGAUUUGAGCAACCUCUGUUUUCAACCUAAGAAAAUACACCCAAGUAAAUCUAGAAAAAUCAUCAACAAUUACAAGAAUGUACCGUUUCUUGUUAAGAGUUGCAACUGUCGACGAUUCACACAAGUCAAUAUGAAGUAACUCCAAAGGUUCGAAAUUUUUUGAGUCUAUUGUGAUCGAAUGACCUUGUUUAUGUUGCUUCCCUUGUUCACAAGAUGCACAUAAAGUAUCAUUAUCAAAAUUUAAAAUAGGUAAUCCUCUUACAAGAUCUUGAACAACUAGUUUGUUCAAAUUUCGAAAAUUCAGAUGUGAAAGCCUUCGAUGCCAAAGCCAUCUAAUGUCUAAUGAAGCUUUCGAAAGUAAGCACAUGAAUGGUUUGCCAACAAUAGGAAUGAUAUCCAGAGUAAUCAUGUCUCCUUUUCUUUUGGAUUGAAGCAAGACUUCUUUGGUGUUGACAUUCGAAAUUAUGCUUCCUUCUUCAUUGAAAAGUACUUGAUUACCAGUUCCCACAACAGGUUGCGAUACACUUAUCAAGUUAUGUUGAAGACCUUCGACAUACGCCACUCUUUGUACAGUAAACUUGCCAUUCGUUAUUUUUCCAUAACCUUUUACUUGAUACCUUUGAUUGUUACCAAACUUAACAACUCGAGCAUUCUUUAAACUUCGAUAGGCACCUAAAUUCUCCUUCUUCCCAAUCAUGUGACAAGAGCAACCACUAUCAAUAUAUCAUUUAUCAUCAUAUUGCUCAUCACACAAACCUGCAAAUGAAUUUUGGUACCCAAGGCUGUUUGGGUCCUUGGACAUUAGUGUGAAACAUAGAAUGAAAUGAAGAACCUCUAACCCAAUCAUGAACUUUUGAUUUGAAACUAUCAAUUAAGUCCACAUCAUGAUUUAAAGAAAUCGAAACAUAAGUUUUCAUUGGUUUUGGAUUGUCACUAACACUUGCCUUUGUCUUCUCAGUUUGUUUUUGUAUUUACGUGUCGCGUGAAACAGGUUUCCAAGCUUUCAUCGAAACAUUCGAUUCUUUUGAUGAUGAACUUUCAUUUGACGAAGUAUUCACAUACUUCUCAUAAGCUUCUUGAAUUUGACGUUGAGAAAAUUUUCAUGAUUGAUACAUCUUUCCUUUUCCUUCAAGCCAAUGAUCUAUGUUUUUCUCUAAAGAUAAUCCCUUAGUGUAUGAAACUUUCAAAUUCUGUUUCCCAGAAGGAUUUGGAAAUUUUGGUUUUUGUAGAACGAAAUCAACUUUUGAUUUUGGACGAAAUUGCUCAACAUGUCGACUUUUAACCUUUGUUUCGAAAUUUGUGUUUUGAAAGUUUCUUUUGUAAAAACUUUUUGAAUUAUUUGAGAAAGAAGUGGGUUUGUAGUUUUGAUUUUGAGAAAAUCUUUCUUGUGAAUUAAAAGAAAAUCGAUUUGUGGAACUGUGAUUUUGAAAUUGCUUUGUUGAAAAAUUUGUUUUUGGAUUUGAUUUAGACCUUGAUUUAUUUCUUUGAGCAGGAUUUUUCUGAAUAGUUGAAUAUGAUGAGGACAUCAUUUUAACAAAUUUGUUCUUCAUGUUGUUAGAAAUUUUUGUUGUCAAACCGUUGGAUUUCUUUCGAGACUCAACAGUUUGCCAAAAAAUUUCUUUCGAGCUUGUCUUUUUGAAAUUCCAUUUUCUUUCGAAAAUUUGGCAAUUUGAUCUUUGAAUUCUUGUGAAUUUAAGUUGACAAGUUUUUCAGUUUCCACAACAACUAAUUUUGAGACUUCUUUCACAACUUUUAGUUUUUCAACCCAUUUCCGUUGAGGUUUUCGCCUUUGAAAUGUAUAUGUAUUCUUUGUAAGAUUGCUUUCGAUAGUACUUUGAUUUGAGAGAAUCCUUCAUUUGUUGUUCGUUUAUUUCCUGCUUCAACCAAUAUGUGAAUCUCUGGUUUGAUGUUAUCGACAUUUCCUGUUGUCACAAACACUUGGUUUAGAAAAACAACAUCAUCUGUGCAUUUGAAAUUAGGAUACACCACUGAAUUCGUUUCGAGAUAAUGAGAACCCUUUUUAGUCAUCACUUUGUCGAAUUUUUCUAUAUCACCAUACACUUGUUCAAUUACAAUUCGUGGAAUUUUUGUUUCUUUCGAACCUUUAUUGGAUGAAAUGGGUUUAUGUAAAAGUUCGUCAUCAUUUUCAUCAUCACUACUAUCAGCCUGACUAUCUCUAACAUCCACAUGAUCAAAAUCACAAACUUUCGAAGUUAAGGGUUUGUUAGUGUCAAUCUUAACCAACGAAUCCUCACAAUUUUAUUUUCCUUUAGACUUUGAUGCCAUAUUAACAAUAGACAACUAAGAACAAUCAACAUCCUCAAGAUCACUAAUUUCGCUAAUAUUAUCAGAAUUAUCUUUGAUAUCAGCAAAAUUAGACUGUGAAUCAGAUGUCGAAUUCUCAGUCUUUUUCAAAAUUUUGAUUUGUUUAUUCUUGGUUAAAGUAUCAUUCACAAUAUCAACUAAUUCAUUCGUAUCCAAAUAUUCCCCAAUUUUAACGACUCCAUAAGCAUACUAUCAUCUGGAAUUUUAUCAAACUCUGCUAUUGUUUUCUCACAAUUCUACGAAACAUUAUCAACCUUCUCUUUUUCAUAUGCUAGAAAAGGUAAUAAUUUAUGAUGUUGUUCCUUACUAAUAUAAGAUGAAUGAUAUAAGCAGUAAGUUUAGCAUACAUAUGUUUGGUUGAAUUACUGUAUAUGUUCCUUUGGGCUAAUAAUAUUUUUACAUCACUACUCAGAUUAUCCCUGUCACACAUAAUAUUUGUAAUUUGCAAUUCUAAACAUUCAAAUUUUAUUUUCUUGGCAUCUAACUGCUUCUGUACUUUUAUCAAUUGAGAAGUUGAUUUCUUAGCCUCGUUGCUAGUAGAGAUAACCAAAGUAUCAAAAUAAGCAACUGUAUCAUCGAAAGAAAUUAAUUCAGAAUCAUAUGCACUUAAAGGAAUAUUAAAAGAUUGAAGAAUAGAACGUACCUUGGUGGUCAUUGGUGAUUUAUCAGAACUUUUAGUCAUGAAGCAAUGACAUGUUACCUCUUCGUCAGAUUCAUCCUCAUAUUUCGCAAACAUGGCUCCAUGCGUCGGAUUACGCAUUUCUUCGCCAUCCGAUCCCGAAUACCAUAUCUGAUAAGUUCCUUCAUUCUCAUCAUCGACCUCUCCCUUUGCCACCGGUGACAUUCCUUUUGCCUUUGCCCUCACUUCUUCAAACCUCUCAAUGUAACAGGCUUCGUCCUCCACCUUGUUUUUCUUCUCAUACUUUUUACGAAGUUGACAAUCACUUGCCAUAUGAUUGGCUCUGUGGCAAUAAUGACAGUUAAUUCCUGAAUCACCUUUAAUCUUCUUCUUAACUUUCGUCUCUUCUUUCUCUACUUUCUUUUUCUCACUUUUCUUCUUCUCUUCUCCUCUAGCCUUCGACAUAAAUCUUCCUUUCACAUCAACAUUUUUCGACUUCGAAUUGAACGGUUUCUUGAAAAACUUAUUUACAUUAUUAUUCGAAUAAAAAGCAACAGCCUCAUCAUCCAAAUUAACAAUGAACCCUUCUUCACCAAAAUCCUCUUCUUCAACCUGUUCCUUUUCUGAAACUUUCGAAACUAAAGCUAAUGGUCCACCCAAGCUUAACUUCGAUUCAUCAGCCAUUUCAUUCAUUUCUCCUUCAUGAGUCUUCAACAGAUUAUAUAGAUCAUUCAAUCUUGAUGUGUUGAAAAUUUGUUGAGUCUUAACCAUCAGAGUAACAUUCCUCCAUUCAUUUCGCAGACCCAUGAUGAACGUCAAAAUUGAAUUCCAUGGUUGUCCUUGUAAUGCCAUGACGAUGGCACUUGUAGAUCAACUCAUUUAGUCUAUCAUAGUAACAUUUGGUUGACUCACCAUCCUUUUGCUUAAAAUCUUUCAAUUCAAUCAAACAGUGCUUAACUGAAUUGAUUUUCGUCUUCUCACUUCCUUGAAAAUUUUCUUUGAGAUUAUUCCCGAUUUAUUUUGCAGUUGUACAACUUAUGACAUAGUUAUGCACAACUGGAGGCAAUGCACCAAGUAUCUCCCUCAUACAUCGUUUUUCAAGUUUCUUCAAUCGAUCAGUUUGAACGUCAACACUUGAAGUUUUAGAUGAAGAUCCAAUUGGUUGAACAUUUGUUAGAGGAGUAACAUUCCCAGAGAUACAUGACCAAAGCUCCUCAUCGAGUCCAUUUAAGUAGUCUUGCAUAUGAUCAACCCACUGAUCAUAGUAUUCUGGAAUGAGCAUAGGAAUCUUAGUUGAAGAUCCUAGCAGAUGAGACUAUGAAGUCAUUGAGUAUAAGUUGAAGUUUGCCAUUGAUGCACGGAUGAAAUUUUUUCUGAUAAAUCAAAAAGAAUUUGAAAGCAAAUUGCUGAAUUGAACAGAAAAAUCAAGUAGAACACUCGAUUCAACAAAUCAGUUGUAGAAUUGAGUCACAACUGAAGAUCAAGAACACCUUUCACUUCAAAAGGUGCAUAAACUUUUUGAACCAGAAUUUGAUUCAAAAACCUUUUGAAUCAGAGUGAAAAUCAGAUCGCAGAUUAUGAUUCCUGCUCUGAUACCAAUUGAUGAUGUGAUGAAUCAAGAAAAUAUCAAAUUAAUUGAGUAAAUGAACACAAAAAGUAAAUAGAACCUGAUUUCAACUCAUAUUAUGCUUUCAAUGUUUUACAAAGAGAAAGUAGACAAGAAGAAUUCAGAUUCAUAUCUAACUCUAAGUAAAGUCCCUAUUUAUAGGAGACGUGAAAGCAUACAAAAAAUUACAAGGACUAAGACACUAAGCUUCGAUAUAAAAUGCCUUGUAAAAUAAUAUAACUGACUUCGACAUAUUACAGCAAAACUUCGAACCUUACAGGUCGAGGAAGUGAAAUAUGAUUUGCACUUCCACGAUCCAAUCGUAGAACAUCAUCUUCGGAAUGAAAUCUUGUUCUAGAAGGUUUGGGAAGACCAUAGUUGUCUGAGGCAGACAUCUACAAUGGAGAAAUUCAAGUUAGUUGUAUUAAGUCCUUAAUAUAACACCCAAAUGAAAUAUUAAGGCUAGAACCCAACAUAAUAAUUUACAAUUCGGAAGAGGGACGCCGUAAUCCGAUUGUAAACUAUUUGAAGGUAGGUAAAUGAAGAUUUACUAAUUUCCACUACGAAAAACGAAAAAGAAUUGUUAGGUUUUAAUUGAAUUGAAAUUCCUAGAUCUUUAGAGAUUCAUUGAAAUUUUCAAUAGCAUGUUUAAAUCUCGAUUGUUCCCUUCAAGUUUGUGACUGAGAUGCCGAGGAUCACAAACAAGGUGUGAAUAACCAUGCAAAUUGGCUUGGUACACUCAAUGUUACAACCACCUAAUCAAUGUGUCGGUUAACCACACACGCUCUAUUAACCUAUGAUUAACAUCAAGCUACCCUUUUUCAUGCACUGUCUGUCCCAUAUUAGUGUGUCGGUUAACCACACGUGCUCUAUUAAUGACUUAACAAGGUGAAAAGUGUAAUUUCAUGGGUUAGCACCAAAUUCACAUUAUUCUUAAAGUAAAUGUAAGGUCCUUAAACGGAUCGUACCAGUGAUCAACCAACAAACACAAUCGAUAAUAAUAAAGAACAAGUAGAAAAAAUGAUGUAAACAAGUUUGCACACGCUUCUAUUAGUGAAAACGUCUGGUACAACUUUUGGAAUAGCAGCCGAAACUCUAAGGCAUCAACAACAACUAAAUGACCUAGCACACCUCUAUAUAUAUUGGACCUGGGCUGGCCUUGGGUUUACGGCCGUAAACAGGCUUACGACCGUAACCUCAUAGCUGGCCGUAAACUAUACAAAAGCUACCAAAACUUUCAUAUUGACUCAAAAGAACCUAUUACAAAUGAAAUCCUAGACGAAACCAUUAACUGGACCCUUCAAUCUCCCCCUUGGUUUGGUGCUAGCUUGGAAUUAAUCUUUGUUCACAAUCAUCACAUCAUCUAGCCCCAUAGCUCCAUUCCAUAUUCACUUGUUUAUAAUCUCAGCAACCAUAGAGGUGUAUUCUUUCGCGGCUGACUCAAAUAUCUCCUUAGCAACUCUGAUCUAAUGAAGACUUAGAUGAUGAAUGUCCCAUCUUCUAAAAUGGAGCAAAUCCCUUCUAUCAUACAAAUGAAUGCAUCCCUCCUUUAGUUUGAUGACAACAGAUGCUGUGGUUUCAUCAAAUACCCAGUAGAGCAUAGAACAUAAGGAUCCAUCCAAGUAACUUUGAAGCACGAGAAUCUGUUUGACCUGAUUUGUAGUAGGCCACAUCACCACUUGGAGUGGAUUACCAGUUUUGGGAUCAAUGACAUCAAGAUAAUGCUUUAUCACAGAUUCAACAGUCUUCAUAGAUGGGAAACCCUUCUUCACUUGAUCUUCCAGAAAGUGUUUGAAAUUAGUUGCUUGUUGAUUUUCCGUCGGGUUUGAAAAAGGAGAUUGAGACAACUCUGAAAGAUCCACCCUGGUCCAAGAAUUAAAAUCAUGACAAUCUUUAUAGAGCUCCGUAUUGCCGCACUUUCUCCAUACAAUACACAUAUUUAGGGGAUCGUGAAAACCCCAAGAUACGAUUCCUGACCAAUCACCAUACAUGUCUUUAAACCUUACGGCUUCGAGAUCCGUAACAGUGAUAGUGGAUUGAUUUCCUGGUGCAUUUUUGUCGGAACUCCUCUUGAACAAGAGUUGUCCCUUCUCGGCGGCUUUGGCUUGUCUGUCUCGAAUAAUAUCUGCAACAUGUGGAGCAUGAGCAGGCUCUUUUUCAAAAUGGUUCACUACUCGAGAAGUCUGAGCAGUUUGCACAGCAAUAGGAUGAGCCUGAGAAUGAAGAUCAAUUCUAUGCUGAUCUGUAGAUGUCUUAUACUUAUCACCAAAGUCUUCUUCAAGGUUCUUCUUGCAAUCAAAAUAGCUGGAGGUCAGAAGAUUGAAAUGAUCUUGGAGCUUAGAGAUUUGCUUGGUCUUUGUUGCCCUAUCUUCUUAGAGAUCAGAAACUUGAAUUUUCAAAUUUGUAUUCUCACUCAAAAGAUCUUCAACACGAAUGCUGAGCUCAAUGUUUUUCUGAUCCAGCACAUUCACUCUCUUAUGAAGUUCAUCAAUCACAGAAUCAUCUUCUCUUGACUGACGUUCACUAAAAGCAAUUCCUUUGCCCUUAGAAGAAGGUGCAACAGCUUGUUCUUGAGCAAGAUGCAAAGCCAAACGCAUAGAGACCGCAUCGAGAUCUGUCCUUGGAGGAGAGAAUACUGGUGGAACAGAGGAGCCACCGGCUUCAAAAAAUGUGCUAGGGCCUUCACACAAAGGUUUUGUAGUAACAAUAGCAGGACUGGUAGUUGGAGUAAAUGGAAAGCCUUAAGAAAAGCUAGAAUGCAGAGGCCCGAACCUAGGAUCUCGUUGUCUUCUUUUGGAUGGAGGCUGCGAAGUCUGGUCUGUUGAGUUAUCAACCUGAAGUGGUUCAGAUGUAGGUGAGACAACGUCAAGGGGAGGAAUCCGUGACACUGUCACCACUGGAAUUGAAGAAACAACCACUUGUUCUGUAGUGAUUGUGUUGAUUCGAGAACAUCUUCUGUAUCCCUACUCUCCGUUGCCGUGUGAGCAACAUCACUGAAAUUAUCUAGCAGCGAGUUGAGGUUGACAUUUGAUAGAAAAUCAUCAUUAGUUCCAAAAUUAGUUGGAAUCUCAUCUCUAUCGAAACAUGUGAGAUCAAGGUCUUCAUAUUGAUUUGGCUCUGCAGUAUUCUUGGAAGACCCUUCAUUGUAAUCUCCUUCAACGUGGACGUUUUGUAGGUCAUGCUGCUCGGCUACUGACACAGCAGGAGCAACAGUCUCUUCUCCUUCUUGAUCUGACAUGGUGAUCACAUCUCCUUCUGAGAUCACCUUUUCUGACGAAGUGGACUCCGAUGAUAUCUUUGAUGGGUUUUGUACAAACAAUCCUAUGUGUGCAUGCAACCCUAGAUUUGGAUCUAUGUUUUCUCUAUUAGAUACACAACUUUAUGAACACAAUAAGAACCCUAGCUAGCAGGUAUAUAUUUCGAAAUUUAUAUAGAAGAGUAGAUCACAUACCUCUUGUUGUUAUAUUGCAAUAAAAACACUAAUCUUCAAUCUCUUAGUCUUGAAAGCAAGUACCGCAAGUGUUGUACCUCUAAUGGCUCACAAACACCACAAGUAAUUGGAGAGGCAAGAGAGAGAGAGGAGAGAGGUUAGAAAUUGGCUCUAGGAACCCUAGGGAAUCAAUGUCCGAUUUCCUUAGGCUUAGGGAUCUUUAUAUAGGGUAGAGAUAAGGGUGUCAGUCCUUAUCCUUAUCUAGUUGCUUGCCCACCAAGUAACCAAAAGAUAAGCCUUGAACGCCCUUAUCUUUGGACGAUUUCAAGGGCCUUAUCCCCCUUGAAUUCGUCCACCUCUCCCAUAGGGCAUCCAUAGCCCUAAUUUGCAACUAUCACAUAAUUACAAUUCAGUCCCUACAGUUUAAUUAAUUACAUUUGAUCACAAAAUUAAUUCUUAAUUAAUUAUUGACCAAUACUAAUUAAACAAAUAUGAUUUCUCCUAUUAAUAUAUUAUUCCUAUAAUAUAUUAAUAAAUCAUAAUAACCUCUUUCUCUAUUAUUUCUCUAGUUAAGUUGCUUUGGUGAAGGCAACCCAAAAGGACCAUGCACAACUGCGUCAAGUGCUUACCAAAUAUGGUUACGGGCUUAGACACUAAUCCAUCAGUCUCCCACUUGGAUAAGUCUAGUAACCACAAAUGUAAGUAAAACUCGAUUAGCAAUCGUAGCUCUCAAAGAUGCUGUUGAACUCUGCUCUUAUCCGUAACAUGUCCUUUAGAUAAGGGAUCGUAUAGUCCUCUGUUUUAGAUAUCGUGCAGACAAUCUCAUGGAACAUAGUCAUACUCAUUGUCUAGCAGCUAGUUUCUCGAUCUCAGAUUCAUUUGACAUAGAACUUAAUUGAACACAUCAAUUCAGUCCUGACCGGGCCUGACACAUAAGUCAAAUCAAAAUCAUCGAGGGGCCUUGAUAUCGAUUUUAUCCUCUAAGGAUAAAACAAUCAGAUAAACUUCGACUUAUAUGCAUUUACUACUCACUAAUCAAUUAUACACAACAAUGCGUUUUAUGAAAUCAAUUUACUGAUGCGGUUUCACAUUAUCAAUGUACAAUCAAUUAGAAAACAAUAAACCAUAUAUCUUGGUUUUAAGACCAUAUGAUAUUAUCAUCCUGCGAUCACUCGUGAUAGAUUCCAUGAAGUGAUUCCAGCAAGUGCGGGUUUAUUCCAAUGCUCAAAACUUAUUUAUAAGCACUCAUGAAUGUUGUAACAAACCUUUGUUAUGUCUAAUACCAUUCAGACAAUCUACACACCAAUUCAUGACAGUCUUCAUUCAAACCUACUUCCAACAUAUGAACGACUGUGGAUCGUUUGAAUAAUUCGAUUAUUCUUAAUUAACUCAAUUAUUCAGGAAGUCAAAACAUGCAAAACAAAAUAAUAUUCAACCAAUUAACAUAAGACAGUAGCUAUACUAAUAAAUAACACUCCUUUAUUUAAUCACCAAAUGUCAAUUACAAUUGUCUAUUACUCAAUUCUAAACUAUCUAAUCCAAACUAACAUCGUGCUUCAGCCCAAUACUCCUAGCGUGCUGCAAAUGCUUAACCCUACUCAGUCCCUUCGUAAGCGGAUCUGCUGGGUUCUCCUCUGAUGAUAUCCUCUUGACUACGAGGAUUCCUUCUUCUACCCGAUGUCUAAUAAAGUGAUAUUUUCUGUCGAUAUGUCGAAAUCUACCAUGAUCCCUCGGUUCCUUGGUCAAGGCAACCGCUCCUUCAUUAUCACAGAAAAUUUCCAUAGGCUCUGUUAUGGCAGGUACAACUCCAAGGUCUCUAAUGAAGUUCUUCAGCCAUAUUGCCUCCUUUGAUGCUUCACUCGCUGCAAUGUACUCUNAUCAGCUAUAGUUUCCUGCUUGGAACUUUUCCAAGUCACUGCUCCUCCAUUUAGGGUAAAGACCCAGCUCGACUGCGAACGGUAGUUGUCCCUGUCGGUCUGGAAAUUGGCGUCACUAUACUCUCGCACCUUUAAGUCAUCACUCCCUCCAAGAACCAGAAACCAUUCAUUGGUCCUCCGAAGGUACUUAAGGAUAUUCUUAACUGCGGUCCAAUGUGCUCUACCAGGGUUCCCUUGAUAUCUACUAACCAUGCUCAAGGAGAAGGCCACAUCAGGGCGAGUACAAGUCAUAUCAUACAUGAUUGAGCCAACUGCGGAAGCGUAAGGUACUCGACUCAUCUAUGCUAUCUCGGCUUAGGUACUCGGACUUUGAGUCUUACUCAACUUGGCAUUACUUUGGAUCGAUAAUUCUCCCUUCUUCGAGUUCUCCAUACUAAAACGUUUUAGUACCUUGUCCAAGUAAGUAUUCUGACGAAGUCCUACUAGUCUCUUACUUCGGUCUCUCACUAUCCUUAUUCCCAAAAUAUAGGAAGCCUCUCCGAGGUCCUUCAUAUCAAAACACUUCCCGAGCCAAGACUUAACUUUCUGUCGUGUCGGGAUGUCGUUUCCUAUGAGUAGUAUGUCAUCGACAUAUAACACGAGAAAACUAACUAUACUCCCACUGGCUUUGACAUAUACACAUGAUUCAUCUUUACUUCGUACAAAUCCAAACUCUUUGACUUUCUCAUCAAAGCAAAGAUUCCAUCUGCGAGAUGCUUGUUUAGGUCCAUAAAUGGACUUCUCAAGCUUGCACACUCUAUUGGGAUGCUUCGCAUCGACAAAACCCUCUGGCUGAGCCAUGUACACAUCCUCAGCCAACUUCCCAUUAAGGAAAUUGGUUUUGACAUCCAUUUGCCAUAUUUCAUAAUUAUGAAAUGCAGCAAUGGCUAGCAUCACCCUAAUAGACUUAAUUUUAGCAACUGGUGAGAAGGUCUCAUCAUAGUCAACUCCGGGAGUUUGAGUAAAGCCCUUUGCAACCAGUCGCACCUUAUACGUGUGAACAUUCCCAUCCAUGUCCGUCUUCUUCUUAAAGAUCCACUUGCACCCAACCAUCUUACGUCCGGACACAUUGUCAACCAAAUUCCAAACUUGGUUGUCAUACAUGGACUAAAUCUCGCUGUCCAUCGCCUCUUUCCAUUUUGUAGACUUCGGGCCUGCCAUGGCUUCCUUAUAGAUGUUAGGUUCAUCUAGAUUUAUUAGUGUACCAUCACUAAUAUACGUGUCCCCUUCGGUAGUAAUAUGAAAACCAUACAACUGGGGUUGAACUCUAACUCUUUCGGAACGUCUAAGAGGUAAGGAUUGGUCAAUCGGUUCAACCAGAGUUUCCUCCUCGGGUUGAGCGCCAGCGUUAGAGGUUCCUUCAUCGAUCGAAUCUUGAAUCUCUUCAAGAUCGAUUUUCCUCCCACUGUCUCCUUGGUUUAUGAGUUCUCGCUCUCGGAAAACCCCUCUCCUCGUAAUGAAGAAAAAAUUGUCACUCGGUCUAUAGAAGAGAUACCCAAAGGAUUUCUGCGGGUAGCCGACGAAAAUACAUCGCUUACUACGAGGUUCGAGCUUGUCGUGAGUCUCUCGUCUUACGAAAGCCUCGCAACCCCAAACCUUGAUAUGUGCCAACGAGGGAGCUUUCCCUGUCCNCCUCCCACUCUCCUCUUGGCAUAUGAGUUCUCUCUCUCUCUCUCUCUCUUUCUCUCUCUCUCUCGGAAAACUCCUCUCCUCCCAAUGAAGACAGCAUUGUCACUCGGUCUAUAGAAGAGAUACCCAAAGGAUUUCUGCGGGUAGCCGAUGAAAAUACAUCGCUUACUACGAGGUUCGAGCUUGUCGUGAGUCUCUCGUCUUACGAAAGCCUCGCAACCCCAAACCGUGAUAUGUGCCAACGAGGGAGCUUUCCCUGUCCACAUCUCGUGAGGUGUUUUGGUAACCUUCUUUGUAGGGACUAAGUUAAGGAUAUGGGCGGCAAUCUCUAAUGCAUACCCCCAGAAUGAGAUAGGUAGUGAAGCACGAAUCAUCAUGGAACGAACCAUGUCUAACAAGGUUCGAUUAUGCCUCUCAGCCACACCAUUCAACUGCGGUGUCCUUGGCGGCAUCAAUUGCGAAACUAUUCCGCAUUCCUUGAGAUAGUCGUGGAACUCAAGACUUAGGUACUCUCCUUCUCGAUCGGAUCGAAGCAUCUUGAUUUUCCUGCCCAAUUGAUUCUCCACUUCUUGUUUAAACUCUUUGAACUUUUCAAAGGUUUCCGACUUGUGUUUGAUUAAGUAAAUAUACCCAUAUCUACUAUAAUCAUCGGUAAAAGUCAAAUAGAAGCGGUUCGCGUCCCUUGUGGUGGAUCUAAAGGGUCCACAUACAUCCGUAUGUAUGAGAUCCAAUAAACCCUCACCCCUUUCACAAGUGCCAGUGAAGGGUGACUUGGUCAUCUUUCCAAGUAAACAAGACUCGCACACGUCAUCGUCCCUAAGGUCGAAUGACUCCAACACUCCAUCCUUUUGGAGUUGGGCUAUGCGUUUCUUGUUGAAAUGUCCAACACAACAAUACCACAAGCAUGCUUUAUCCAAACCAUUGGAAGAAUCGACACACAACACAUCAUUUCCUAAGUUAUCUACAACCAUAACAGUUUCAUAAAUUCCAUUACAAGGCAAUGCUUCAAAAUACAAGACACCAUUUAGAUAAGCAUAAACUGAACCUUUCUCAUUAUCAAACGAAUAUCUAAAUCCUUGUCUAAGCAAACCAUGAAAUGAAAUGAUGCUUCUUGCCAUAUCUGGCGAAUAGCAACAAUUAUCUAAAUCUAAACCUAAUCCAUUACUAAGCGCUAAAGAAUACACUCCAAUCUUGGUGACAGGCGACGAUCUUCUAUUUCCCAUGAUUAGAUUUAUUCUUCCACGCUCCACAUCUCUAUUUCUUCUUACUCCCUGCAAAUCAGACCAUAUGUGAAAACCACAUCCUGUAUCAAGAACCCAAGAAAUAGUACGUGAUGAAUCAUUAGAUUUAAUUGUGUAAAUACAGGCGAAAGACGGCUUGAUCUUCCCAUCCUUGAUGGCUUACAGAUAUUCUGGGCAGCUUCUCUUCCAGUGUCCUAUUUUGUGGCAGUGGUGACAUUCUGCCUCCUUAGGGUUUGAGUUGGGCUUAGCGGGGCCGACUUUUGUUCCACUAGUAGAGGAACCAUCUUGGGACUUUCCAUUGUGGUGGCUCUUUGAAAGAGCCUUCCUCUUUUUUCCCUUCCCUUGCCUAAUGGCCAAAACAGGAGCAGCGGGUGGAGUGUGAGUUGGUGCAACAGAUUUGUCCUUAAGGUUGCUCUCAGCAAUCCUUAGGAGUCCUUGGAGUUUUCUUAGGGUGACUUCUUCUUUGUUCAUGUGGUAGGUCAUCCUAAAUUGGUUGUAGCACGAGGGCAAGGAGUGGAGAAUUAUGUCGAUGGCCAAGUCUUCCCCAAAGUUAACAUUUAACUUGCGAAGAUGAUCAACAUACCUUUGCAUCUUUUGCAAAUGCGAGGUUAGGGAUUCUCCACUUCCGAUCUUAGCGGUGAUCAUGUUAGUGAUGAUCUCGUAGCGCUCUUGCCUUACGCUUUGGUGGUAACUCUCCAGCAAAUCUUGGUGCAUUUCAUAGGGAUACAUGUCCUCAUAGGACUUUUGUAGUUCAAGAUUCAUAGUGGCCAACAUAAUGCAAUGGACUUUCGUUGCAUCACGCUCAUGGGUCUUAAAGACGACCAUUUCUUCGGGAGUGGCGAUUUCCGGAUUGAUCUUUUCAAGCUUCUCAUCGAGGACAUAUUCUUUGUCCUCGUAGCGGGAAAUCAUGCGAAUGUAUCUUAUCCAUUCGUUGAAAUUCGAUCCGUCGAAUGUCACCUUUUGACAUAGGCUCAUUAGCGAGAAUGAGCCAGCGACAGCAUUGUUUGCGUUUGCGUUAGACAUAUGCAAAUAGAAAGGAAUAAAGUUUGAUUAGAAUUGAAUCCCUAAUUAAACACCAAAAUGAGAAAUUAGGGCUAGGAUCCAACAACAUUAUUUACACAUUAGAAAAGGGAUGCCGUAAUCCAACAUGCAAAUAAUUUGGAGGUAAGUGAAUGAAGAUUCACUAAUUCUUCACCAUGAAAAACAUAAGGCUUAGGUUUUAAAUGUAUUGAGAAUUCCUAGAUUUCUUGAGAUUCAUUGAACUUUUCAAUGGCAUGUUUAAAUCUCGAUAUGCCCCUCUUGUUUGUGACUGGGAUGCCGAGGAUCACAAAGCGGGUGUGAAUAACCAUGCUAAUAUACAUGGUGCCCUCAUUGUUACAGUCACCUAUUCGAUGUGCCGGUUAAGAACACACGCUCCAUCAAACUAUGGUAAACAAUGAGUCACCCUUUGCCACCUUUGCUUAGAACCAAUUAGUGUGCCGGUUAACCACACACGCUCCACUAACUUCUUAGCAAGGGUGCAAAGUGUAAUUUCAUGGGAUUGCAUCAAUUCACUUUUGCCUAAAGUAACUAGGAUUGAGAAUUUUGUAAAAACAUUCAGUUACUUUAUAUAGUUUCUUUAUACUUAUUAAUGAAGAAAGGCUUGCCCUAUCCUACCCAUUCGGCUAACGACCCUCCACCAAUCAAGGAAGCGGUGGGUAAGAGUGGAUACCCAUUAACCGACCAUUUUAUAGGCCAUAACCUUAUACCCCCCGUAUAGAUCGGCUUCGUGAAUGAGGCCUACUAACGGUAAGACUAACAUUUUAGUUAUAUAUAUANNNNNNNNNNNNNNNNNNNNNNNNNNNNNNNNNNNNNNNNNNNNNNNNNNNNNNNNNNNNNNUAUAUAUAUAUAUAUAUAUAUAAAUCUUGUAAUAAUAUAAUAGAAUAUGGUGUAUUUUAAACAUUUUAAAAAUACUAGGGUUUUAAUCUCAAUUUGAAAUUUUCAAAAUUUAUCACUUUUAAAUUAAAAUUUUAAAUAUUAAAACUCUUGAUUUAAUAAUUAUCUAAAUUAAACAAUUAAUUCUAAUUACUAAAUCAUAAAGGAUUAUGAUAAAUUAAACAAUUAAAUUUAUCCUAAUCCCUUAUAUCCCUCUAAAUUUCGAAAUUUGGGAGGGGAUAAUUCAAAAAUCCUUAAUUACCAUAUUUAACAAUUAAAAGAUAAUUACAAGAUAUGGGAUUAUCCAAAUCCCUAGAUUUUAGGGACUUAUCUUGGGGAGGAGGCAUGAUCUCGAAAAUCUAGGGUUUGCAAACCCUAGAUCUCGAAAUCUUGGGCAACAAUCAAAAUUUUGAGCACAAGGGUUCAAGAAAUCCUAAAAUCGAAAUCCAAGCCUCCUAGGGUUUAUUGGCCAUAAACCCUAAAGUGUCAAAUUCAUACAAUUGUAUAAUACUAAAUUGAAAACAAUUCAAUCAAAGGCUUUGAUACCAUUGAUGGGUUUUGUACAAACAAUCCUAUGUGUGCAUGAAACCCUAGAUUUGGAUCUAUGUUUCUCUAUUAGAUACACAACUUUAUGAACACAAUAAGAACCCUAGCUAGCAGGUAUAUAUUUCGAAAUUUAUAUAGAAGGGUAGAUCACAUACCUCUUGUUGUUAUAUUGCAAUAACACCACUAAUCUUCAAUCUCUUAGUCUUGAAAGCAAGUACCACAAGUGUAGUACCUCUAAUGGCUCACAAACAUCACAAGCAAUUGGAGAGGCAAGAGAGAGAGAGAGAGAGAGAGAGAGAGGAGAGAGGUUAGAAAUCAGCUCUAGAAACCCUAGGGAAUCAAUGUCCGAUUUCCUUAGGCUUAGGGAUCUUUAUAUAGGGUAGAGAUUAGGGUUUCAGUCCUUAUCCUUAUCUAGUUGCUUGCCCACCAAGUAACCAAAAGAUAAGCCUUGAACGCCCUUAUAUUUGGAAGAUUUCAAGGGCUUUAUCCCCCUUGAAUUCGUCCACCUCUCCCAUAGGGCAUCCAUUGCCCUAAUUUGCAACUAUCACAUAAUUACAAUUCAGUCCCUGCAGUUUAAUUAAUUACAUUUGAUCAUAAAAUUAAUUCUUAAUUAACUAUUGACCAGUAUUAAUUAAACAAAUAUGAUUUCUCCUAUUAAUAUAUUAUUCCUAUAAUAUAUUAAUAAAUCAUAAUAACCUCUUUCUCUAUUAUUUCUCCAGUUAAGUUGCUUUGGUGAAGGCAACCCAAAAGGACUAUGCACAACCAGGUCAAGUGCUUACCAAAUAUGGUUACGGGCUUAGACACUAAUCCAACAAUCUUAUCUGAAGAUCCGUGUGACUCAGUUGCCUCAUUCGGCUCAUCAAAUCAUCCAAAUGUGACCAAUGGGAAAAGUCCUUGAAAAGUGACCUUUCCAUUACGAUUCUGUUUAAUUAGCCCAAUGGUGUGUGGGCCCAAGGACUUCAUGUCGAGCGUAUCACCCUCCUUAACCAUGUUUGGGAAAUGUUUGUUUAUGAAGAGUUGAAUGAAACUGGGAUACAUCAAGAAGGUAUCCAUAGUAGUGGCAUUGAUGUUUACCACAAAUUCAUCCAGUAUAAACCUUGAGAAAUUGAAACCGAUUCUCGUAGCGAGAGAAACUAUAGCACUGGUGUUUCUCAGUGAGAUUUCAUUUGCACUAGAUCUCCUACCGGAGAUACAGCUCACAAACACAUGAGCUAAAAAUCUCCAGUAGGGCGGUAGAAGCUUCUUCAUCGUAGGUGGGGAGACACCCUCAUACCCUAUCUUCCUUAGAUCUUCUGAACGUCUUCAAUGCCGAUCUCGGCAGAAAAGCUUGGAAGGUCAUUGAUCAGCAAUGUUUCUAUGAUGAACUGCUCGUUGAUUAUAAUUUUGCAUCCUUGAACAACAACAUCCACAGUCACGGCACCAUCGUCAUCUCUCGUCAUCUUGGUAGUUUGCCAGAACUCGCGUAUGAUUUCUGAUAAACAGUAGUGUUCAUAGUAAUGGCAUAGGCCAGACAACAUUCUCAUAAUCCAUGAAUCAUUGAUUUGAAGUCCACAUGAGCCACUGGAGGAUCAACAAGAACCAUCGCCAGGUUGUGCAUAUCUGCAAAUUUUAAUGCCGCCAUUUUAUCUACACUAAAACAUACCAAGUAAGACAAGAGAGAAAAUUGAGCAAUUAAUAUUUUAAAUGAUUUAAUUUUUGAGCCCAAAAAUGAAUUAAUAAUUUUUCAAAUUAAAUUUUAGGUCAAAGAAGAUUUUGCGGUCAACGGGGGUUUACGGUUGUAAACCCGUGACAGUAAGCUUAUGCCGCAAGCUUGGGCCGUAAGCUUGGGCGUAAACUUCAUCAAUCCGUUUUUCGUCGAUUUCAAGCUCAAAAAUCAUCAAAUCACUGAAACAAGCCCAUAUUCCUGGUCGAAAAUGUGAUACCUGUAAAGCUAUUGAAGUAAUUUCACAAAAAUCGAGAAAUUUUUUUUCAAGGAGAAAGAGAGAGGGGGAGAGUUUGCGGCCAGAAUCAGAGAAAUGAGGAGGAUCCCGACUAUAAACUCCUUAAAUACCUUGAAUCUUUUUACCUGCUGACCACACAGUGUAAGGCACAGUCCAAUACAAUCCAAUAUUCUUCAAAAAUUUCAAAAACAAAACUUUUUGAGGAUUAAAAUUAAAACUAAAAUUAAAAUUAAAAAUAAAAUAAAAUAAAAUAAAAUUAAUCUGCAAAAUUUAAAAUUAAAAAUAACCGUUAAAUUUUAACACUUAAUUAAAUAAAAAAAAUAAAAUUGAAAACUAAAAAUAAAAUAAAAAUAAAAAUAAAAUCAAAUAAACUAUACAACUUAAAAAUUUAAUUACUAAGAAUAAAUUUGUGACACUGGGAUCAAAGUUGUUGGACCGUCCUAUUCUACUUGUCGGUACCCAUAUUUUUCACGUCUUUGUCUGAAAGAUCACCGGUAUUGUGGUCCACUUAAGCACGAAACAUUUGUUACAGAGUUUGGACAAUUUACCAAUGACAUGACACACACACACACACACACACACACACACAUAUAUAUAUAUAUAUAUAUAUAUACUUAUUAGCCCAUAUUCUUAAAUAAAUUUUCCCUGUGAUCAUUUAACUGACUACAACCAGGGAUAUUGUUGUCCACCUAAAUUGAGCGGCGAGAUCUACAGAAAAUCUGUAUGUGUUCAUUUUUAAUUGUACUAGAACGUGUUUCCCGCUUCCUGAUAUGCCCCAGCCAUCAAGGACUUCCAAUAUACUCCUUACACCGGGUGAGCAGAUAAUUAUUAAGAGAGAAGAUAAAUUUAGAGUGCAUAUGUUGUACAUCCAGGUCGGAUCUCUUCCAAUCACGCAAAGGAUGAAACAUACGACUAACUAAAGUUUUAGAGGGAUUGAGAAGAGAACGUUGCAUAUACUAUGUACCAGGCCGGAUUAUGAGUCACGCAAAGGAGACAAUAUAUGGCUAACAGAUAGAAAGAAUUGUUGGGUUUUGAGCAUUCUAACACUCCUAAGUGUACAUGAAACCCUAAAUACCUUGGAUCUAUGUUUUCUCUAUUAUACAUACAAAUAAGAACAUCCUAGGUAUUAUCCUAAUCUAGCAUACAAAACAAUGACUAUAGCAAGAUAGAAUACAUACCUCUUUGGUGUAGAAAGUCUUCAUGAAGCUUGAGUGCCUAGCCCUAAUAGUGUGGAAGCCUCAAAUGGAAUCACAAUCACCAAAACACUUAGAAUAACUUGAGAGAAUUCUACAACUCAUGAAAUCGGCUAGCCCUUUCACUUCACACACUAGUGGCCGAUUUUGGUCAAGAAUAAGAUGCUUAUAUAGUUAGGGUUACACCAUGUAAACCCUAAUUGACAUGGCCUUUCAUUUCCAUGAUCCAUGGGUACAAAUACACCAUGGAGCAUCCAUGGACCAUCCUAUGGGUUUUAGCCCAACUUGAUUAUCCAUGGAGCAUUAGCCCACUAUACAAGUAUGGAUGAUUUACACAAUCAACCCAUAUAUUUAAUUAGUCUUCUUUUGAUCACUUAAUUAAUCCUAGAUUAAUUCUUGAUCAAUACUAAUUAAAUAAUCUUAUUAUUCUUAUUAUUAAUAUACUAGAACUUAUAAUAUAUUAAUAACCAUAAGUGUCUUAUUUCUCUCAUUAUAGUCUAUCCAAGUGCAUGAUGGUAUGCAACCCAAAUGGACCAUGCCGGGUCGGGUCAAGUCUUACCAAUUAUAGUUAUGGACUUAGACAUUAAUCCAACAGUCUCCCACUUGGAUAAGUCUAAAACUAUUAUUGCGUAUGACUUCAGGAACCAACUGGCAAUCGUAGCUCUCAAAAGCUUCUGUCGAACUCUGACCUUGUAGAUGAACUCUGACCUUUGUCAAUGACUUGUCCAUUAGAUAAGGGAUCAUAUAUUCCUCCAUUCUAGAUAUCAUAUGGACUGAGACAUGGAUUAUAAUCAUUCUCUCUGUCCAUUUGUUGUUUCCCGAUUUCCGAUUUAUGACGACUGACUAAUUGAACAAAUCAAAUCAGUCCUGGCCCGGCCGAGCACUUCCAUUUGUCAUCAUCAAAUCAUCGAGGGGCCCACAGAUAUCGCUUUUAUCCCGAAGGUAAAAGGAAUGGAUAAACUUCGACUCAUAUGGCUUGUUCUACUACUUGUUGAAUCAUACACAAAGGCACGUUUUAUAGCACCGAGUUACCAAAUGCGUUUUCGUGCAAUCAAUGUACUAUCAACUCAUAGUAACAACUCAUAUCUCUAGGUUUGAAGAAUAUAAGAUAUUAUCGUCUCAUGAUCACUCGUGAUAAAAUCCAUGAAGUGAUUCCAAUGAGCGCGGGUUGAAUCCAAUACUCAGAACUUAUGAGCACUCAUGAGUGUUGUAGCCCUUUGUCCAACACCUUAGACCUCUACAAGCCAACCCAUGACAGUCUUAAUUCAUAUCUACUUCCAACAUAUGACCGACUGUGGAUGGUUUGAAUAACUUAGUCAUUCCGGAAGAAUAACCCAGUUUAUUCGGGAAGUCAAAACAUGCAAAAUGAAACACAAUAAUAAUUGAAUCCAAUAUGGUAUCAACCCUUUGAACAUAAAUAAAACACCUUUUAUUUAUCACCAUAUGAUUACACAUUAUUCAUUGUAUACUGUUUCAGCUAUCAACUUUAUUCUUGAAUUUAAAACAAUAGUUGUCCCAUGCUCCAAGCAUGUACACUAUGUUUUCUUAAACACUAGUCAUGCCACACACCAAGUAUGCAUACUAUGUUUGUCUAUGAUCUUUACUUUGUGAACUAGAUCAAUUGAACAUAACUUCAAUGAUUCUCUUUUCACACUCCCAAAUCCUUACUGCAAAUGCAAGAAUUCCAAAUUCAUGCCAUUUACUGAAAUCUGUUAGAUUCUAAACUUAUAUGCAUUGAUCCUCUUGUAAUGAUUAUGCACAAAGUCACAAAGACUUGGCAACAAUCAUUACAGAGUAUUCCAAAGGAGAUCAACUCCUUGGAAAUAUCCUUCUUGCAUUAAGUUUCCUUAAUCUUACACAGAUUGAAAAUUCUAACUUUGAAACAUUUCCAGAUUCCAUUUUGACUAUCACUUCUGAACAAGAGUUGCCUCCUUACAGAUUAUGUCAAUAUGGUCCUUCCAGAAUUAUCACUAUACUUCCAAUUGUCCUUGAGUAACCAAUCUUUGGUAAACCUUAGAUUGUCCUCGACAAUUGUUUAAUCCUUUUAGUCAUAUCCAGUUCUAAACCUUUUCCCUUCUUAAUGCCCCAGGCAUUUGGAAAAUUUUAGAACGGAUGAAUAUAGCACAUGUAAUCGAUCCUAUAUCCGAAGCAUAUGGGACACGAUUCAUGAUGUCUUACAUAAAGACUAAACCAGUCUUUUGCUAUAAUAUUUCCAUUUCAAUUUGCCAAGUUCUCAUAAUUCAGAUUAUGAAAAGGGAUGCCGUAAUCAUAAUCGAAUUUUAGAACGCAAAUAAUGGACCCAUAUACAGAAUUUCCUUAUGUUGAGCCAUUCCAACAUGAAAUUCAUAUAUAUCCUUGACUAAAUGAUUAAAACCUCACGAUCUAAGCUUAUAGAUUUGAGAUGAAGCAUAAUUUCCUCUCCCUUAAUUAUAGCAAAACAACUUUUUCCCAAUUGAAACUUUUGUUUUCUAUAAUUAACAUUGCUAACUUGCAAUACUUAUCAUAAUUAUCAUGCUCCCACUAACAUGAUGAUUAUUAGCAUAACACUUAUGCUCCCACUAGCUUUGACAUGUACUCAGAAAUCAGCUGGACAGUCUGAAAUUUAGAUUCAUACACCCUUUCCGUAGAUAGCUCACCUGUGUGUCUAAGCAAUUUCAAGAACCAUGAAAAGGGAUACCGUAAUCAUGGUCUCAAUUGCUUAGGCAUUUGCCAUUUCUCACAAGUCCAUGUUAGUGUGCCGGUUAACCACACGCGCUCCACUAACGACUUUUGAAAAUGCAAAUAACACAAUUGAUAUCUUCGUAAAAUCUACUUAGUGAAAGCGUUUCCUCACCAUCAUUUUCAUGAAUCGGAGAGAAACCUUAUGACACUUAGAUUUAUAUGGUGUAUGAGUUCCUACCCAUAUGAAUUUGUCAAACCAUAAUCACAAGACAAAGAUAAUGACAAAUCCAAAACCAUAUGGAUUGAACUCAAUCUUAACUUCUUGCCACCUGGCAGCUCAAGGGCCUGCCAUUGCUUCCAAGUUGUUAUGCAACAAACUGAGAACUCUAAGAACUCAUAUGCAAAGCCAACUUUAACUGGAAUGGGCACAGAUAUGUCAACACGAUAGGUUAUAAACCUCAAGUCGUGUGCUAGUGAAGAACUUCAGGUUUUAUUCUUGAUUAUUUCUUGAGACUUUCAAGACCUUUAAGACUCCCACUGUCCUCUUGACAUAUAAGACUCCCUUGUCAAACAUCCAAGAGAUAGUGCGGAUUCUAAUCAAGAAAAACACUUUACCCAAUUGGCCUAAGUUGGUCUUUGUUUUAUCCAAAACAUCACAACUUACCAAUUUCAAAUGUACAAGAGUAGAAAACUUUUACUCUUACAUUUGACAAGUGUUUUAAACCUUCUUUAAGACAUGUCACUCAAAUGACAAUCUUGGAGUAUGACUCUAAGACUUGUAUUGGAACGAAGUAUGACUCAUCUUCUUGAUUUAACCAUUUCAACAAUUCAAGUUCCUCUUCUUAGUCAUAAGAAUGCACUAAGAUUUCCUUAGAGAACUAAUUUUGAUAUGGUUUCUUAAUCAUUAAGAUGAUCACAAAACUGAUACUAAAGUACUCUCCCAUCUUUUCAGAUAUGAGAAACUUUUAUCCUUCUGCCUAAUUUGAUUCUUCUUAUUCGCCCUGCCAUACAUUGGAACCUUUUCCAAUGUCUCAGAGUUACACUUAAGCUUGUAAGUAUAAUCAUAUUUACUGAGCUUUAGUAAACUAUGACGAAUAGUCUUAUCAAUCUUUUGUGGUGGACUUAAUCAGUGCACAAGAAUGUGUACUCGAUCCCUUAGUCCUUUACUUGACUCACACAUCCAUGUGAACAAGUAAUUAGUCUUAAUUUUCCAAAACUUGAAAGUUCUCAUUCAUCAUGCUAUACAACUUGCAUGAUUCCAAGUUCCGGUCCAAUUGAAACUUGGGUGAUGAGAAUCUUUCCUUAUUUGGUAAAUCUAGACAUUACCACAAAUGAAAGAAUCAAUUUCAUAUUUCCACUCUUGCUCUUAAUGGAAUCAUAUAAGCAACAAUUUUUCCUCAAAAGCCAUUGUAAGGAUAUUUUAAAAUAAAUAAAAUCAAAAAAAUUUUCUUUUAUUUUAAAACUUUGCGGAAAAACUUAUCCUUACAAUCCAUAUGAAAACUUGUUGUUAUCUAUUCCUAAGCAAUAUCUCAUAACUCCUAAGAAGUAGCUCAAGAAUCCGAUCUUCAAACUAUGCGAUAGAAAUCCAUCUACGCCAUCAGAUUCAGCAUAUUCUUUCUUUAAGUUUCUUCACUUUUCUUUGAUUCUUAAAACAUCACCAUGUGACCCAGUCACAUCAUGUAUCAAGAAUCUCAGAAUAGAAACUUAACAGAGUUAGAUAGUGGACUUUACCUGAAGUAGAGUCAAACUUAUUGACUUUAACAUCCUUAGGUAAAUUUGGCAGCUUCGCAACCAAUGCCCCUUCCUUUGGCAAUAUAAACAUAUGGACCCUUUGAUAAUGGUACACGGGACUAUCACAGACUUAGCUUUUCUCUUUACCAUUUGGUCAACCGAGUUGACUAUGGCCGAUCCCUUUCCAUUGGGAAGAGAAUGCUUUACUGGAUAUCCAAUGUCAUCAUUGUCAAUGUCCAUAAAGUUUUAGGAAGUUGAUCUUAGCAAAUAGAUAAGAUCAUUAAGGGUCUUGUCAUAGUCUGUUUCAUAGGUGUCCCAAAGGAACUCACUAUGUGACUUAGAAAGUGGUUGAACCACCAACUUUCUCAAGACUUUGACACCCAACUCUCCCGGCUUGUCAAUAUGUGACUACAUCUCCAAGAUGUGACCACACCUAGACCUUGCCUUGCUAAUAGGGCCUGAGUGACCUUAAACUUUUCAAGAACUUGUGGGUUAGGGAGAAUAAUUUGAAGAGGUGAAGAAGUAUGAUAUCCAUGGGACAUCAUCUUCAUUAGGAAACCUUGUUUCAAGAGAUUUGGGAAGAUCAUAGGUGUCUAAACCAGACAUCUUUUGGGAGAUAUUCAAGAUAGUUGAUUUAAAGUCCUUAAUAUGACACCCAAUAUGAAAUAUUAAGGCUAGGACCCAACAAACUAUUUUAUAACUUAGAAGAGGUAUGCCGUAAUCCAAGCUAUAAAAUAUUUGAAGGUAGGUGAAUGACGAUUCACCAAUUUCCACCAAGAUAAACGAAAUGUAUUAUUAGGUUUUAAUUGGUUUUGAAACUCCUAGAUCUUUGAGAUUCAUUGAACUUUUCAAAGGCAUGUUUCAAUCUCGAGUGUGCCCUUCAGGUUUUGUGACUGGGAUGCCGAGGAUCACAAAACAAGGUGUGAAGUAACCAUGCAAAUCACUUGGUACCCUUAAUAAAUUACCCCUCAAUCGAUGUGCCGGUUAACCACACACGCUCCAUCGAUACUAUGAUAAAUAUUAAGUCACCCUUUACCUACCUUGUUAAGUCCAAGUUAGUGUGCCGGUUAACCACACACGCUCCACUAACGACUUAGACAAAGUGUAAAGUGUAAUUUCAUGGAUUAGCACCUUAUUCACAUUUUUCCUAAGUAACUAAGAUUGGGUAUUAUUAAGAGUUUAGUUACUUAGUAUUAUCAUUAAUACUUUUAAUGAAGGGAGAAUUCUAGUCCUGUCAAACCCGUUCGGCUAACGACCCUCCACCAGUCAAGCAAGCGGUGGGUGAGAGUGGACACCCAUUAAGUUGCCAUUUUAUAGGCAACAACCUUAUACCCACCUUAUAGACCGGCUUCGUGAAUGAGGCGUACUAGCGGUAAGACUGACUUUACUCUUAUACAUAUAUAUAUUAUUAACUUAUAAUAUUAUAAAGUAUAAGGGUUGAAUUUUAACUUUUAAAAUUCUAAGGGCUAACUUGGAAUUAAAGUAUUCAUACUUGAAAACUUUUCAAAUUCCAAAACUUGAGGGCAAGUUUUGAAACUAUUCAAAACUAAUUAAUUCCAUAACUUAUGUGUUUAAAGUAGUUUUAAUCCAAAAACUCUUCAAGUUCCAUAACUUGAGGACAAGUUAUGGAAGACUUUAAACUAAUAAAAGAACUAACUUUUUCUUUAUUUUAUAACUUAUGGAUUUAAUUAUGGUUACAUAUUUUUCUUUAAUGAAGUGACUCUUGAACUUCCAUAACUUGAGGACAAGUUAUGGAGUCAAAAAAAAUUAUUCAAUGACACAAGACUCUUCAUUUUGUAACCAUUGCCAACUUUUAUGAAUUUUAUGAGUCUUUAAUGUGACUCUUCAUGUAACUUGAGGACAAGUUACACAAACACAUUUUAUACUCAACUCUUAGAUUAAAAUGGAUUGAAAACAACUAUUUCACUCAACAUUUCUAUUAAUCUAAGCAACUCAUAAGAACAAGAUAAUUCAAAUCAAACUUUUUCAUGUAAUUAGUCUAAACCUUAAACUAAUACAAAACAUGAAUCUAUUGACAAUUAUCUUUGAAAAUGGAUUAGCAUGAACAUUACCACAUCAAAAACAAGUUUAUAAGUUCAAAAACAACUUAGGGUAAUGUUCCUAGUCCAUUUCUAGCCAAAAAACUCGAAAAUAUGCUGUCUGGGGGUCCAACUCGUCGAGUGCAUGAACAAACUCGGCGAGUUGGAUCGAAUUCAUCACUUUUUAGGCAUGGACUCGUCGAGUCUCCUGAUGGACUCGCCGAGUCUGAUGAUCAGACAGCACCAGAUUCGUUUUUUCAGCUUCUAUUGCAGGUAUAACAAGAAAACAAGCCUAGGCUCUGAUACCACUGUUGGGUUUUGAGCAUUCUAACACUCCUAAGUGUACAUGCAACCCUAAAUACCUUGGAUCUAUGUUUUCUCUAUUAUACAUGCAAAUAAGAACAUCCAAGGUAUUAUCCUAAUCUAGCAUACAAAAACAAUGAGUGUAACAAGAUAGAAUACAUACCUCUUUGAUGUAGAAAGUCUUCAUGAAGCUUGAGUGCCUAGCCCCAAUAGUGUGGAAGCCUCAAAUGGAAUCACAAUCACCAAAACACUUAGAAUAACUUGAGAGAAUUCUACAACUCAUGAAAUCGGCUAGCCCUUUUACUUCACACACUAGUGGCCGAUUUUGGUCAAGAAUAAGAUGCUUAUAUAGUUAGGGUUACACCAUGUAAACCCUAAUUGACAUGGCCUUUCAUUUCCAUGAUCCAUGGGUACAAAUACACCAUGGAGCAUCCAUGGACCAUCCUAUGGGUUUUAGCCCAACUUGAUUAUCCAUGGAGCAUUAGCCCACUAUACAAGUAUGGAUGAUUUACACAAUCAACCCAUAUAUUUAAUUAGUCUUCUUUUGAUCACUUAAUUAAUCCUAGAUUAAUUCUUGAUCAACACUAAUUAAAUAAUCUUUUUAUUCUUAUUAUUAAUAUACUAGAAUAUAUUAAUAACCAUAAGUGUCUUAUUUCUCUCAUUAUAGUCUAUCCAAGUGCAUGAUGGUAUGCAACCCAAAUGGACCAUGCCGGGUCGGGUCAAGUCUUACCAAUUAUAGUUAUGGACUUAGACAUUAAUCCAACAAGAAUUGCAUAGAGAGAAGAUGUAGAGAGAUAGAAUUGCAUAUGUUACAGUCCAGGUCGGAUCUCUCGAUCACGCAAAGGAGGCAACAUAUGAAUAACAGAAAAAAGCAAGAAAAUAACCUUCUACAUACCUAGUUCAUUGGAAUUCCCUAGUCACCCCAUCAAAACUGGAAUUAAGGACAGAAUCCGCACAUCGAGGAAAGGUUAAUCCACAGUUCUAGAUACGAAUUAUUUUAAUGUGACCGGUAGAUUCUCAUGUAUAUCUACCUGCUCAACCUAUCCGAGCGUUGUAAUGUUAGGCUAAACGGAUCUAACUAGUUUAAUGUUUGUCAAGUCCUUGAAUUCCUUAAGUUCAACUCUCCCUAGUCAAGUCCAUUUAAAAUCUUUCGUGCCUAUCAGCGCAUCGAGCACAGAGUGUAGACGAUUCAAUUUUGGUACGUUACACAGAUUCAGAUUGCCCGUUAUCACUUGCUAAUAUCAUUUCCCUUCACAACACCUACAAACAAAACUAUCAACAAUAUAUUUUUUGAUUUUCUGGAUUUUUAUUGUUUUUGGAUUUUUUAUUGUUUUUGGAUUUUUUUUUAUUAUUUCUCCCCCUAAAUUUGUGCAUGGUUGAGAAUGAAAAAUAAAAGGAAAUAAAAUGCGCAAAUUUAAACUAGCCUACCUACAAAAACAAGAAUAAAUUUUAAAAUUUAAGAAGAAUUAAGAAAACAACAGAAAAAUAAAAUAGAAAAACUUAAUCCUCAAAAUGAAUCAUUUUCAGAAAUCCCACAAGCACAUCGAAGCGAGCUUUGUUAAAGGGCUUAAUGAACAUAUCCGCCACAUUAUUAGCAGUGGGAACCUGUUCCAGCCGGAUAAGUGAACGUUCAUAACAAUCUCUGAUGAAAUGAAUUUUAAUGUCGAUGUGCUGGGUUUUAGAAUGUUGGAUAGGAUUUUUGGCAAUUUGAAUUGCGGCCUCAUUAUCAUAGUAGAUGGGGUUUCUAAGUAAUUCAAACCGUAGUCCAACAGUUGAUGUUGGAUCCAGAUAACUUGAGAACAACAUGCAGAUGCAACAACGUAUUCCGCCUCCGCUAUUGAGGUUGAGACAGUGUGUUGCUUCUUGCACUGCCAUGAUAGUAGCCUGUCACCAUGAUAUUGACACCCUCCUGAAGUAGAUUUCCUGUCAAGCUCACAGCCUCAUAAUUACUGUCAGCAAAAGCAUAUAAAUCAAAUUCAGAAUUCUUCGGAUACCAAAGACCCAAUUUUGGGAUGCCUUUGAUAUACCAAAAAAUUCUUUUGACAGCAAUAAGAUGUGAAAGUUUAGGAUUAGCCUGAUAACAUGCGCAUUGACAAACUGCAAACAUGAUGUCUGGACGACUUGCGGUAAGAUACAUCAGUGAUCCGAUCAUCGAUCUGUAAAGAGUCUGAUGUACUGAAUCGCGAUUAGUAUAUGGAGUCAGAAGAGGUCUUUCAACCAUUGGCGUCGAUGCAGAUUUAGCAUCGUGAAACCCGAACUUCUCAAGAAUAUCUUCCACAUACUUGGCUUGAUGUAGCAGGAUUCCGGUUGAAUUUUGUUUGACCUGAAGCCCCAUAAACAUGGUCAUUUCCCCCAACGAACUCAUAUCGAACCACUUUUCCAUAAACAAAGUUUGAUCGAUAGUGCCACGAGAAUAUCUUCCACAUACUCGUCAACAUAGAUUUGCACCAAAAUCUGAUCAUUACCGACAUGCUUGAUAAACAAAGUUUGAUCGAUAGUGCCACGAGAGUAUCCAUGCUCGAGCAAGUGCUUUGUUAGAGUUGCAUACCAUGAUCGAGGAGCUUGAUGUAACCCAUACAAUGCCUUGUCCAACUUGUAGACAUGAUUAGGAAACUUCGAGUCAAUAAACCCCAGGGCCUGAUCAGCGUAGAUUUCUUCUUUCACCUUGCGAUACAAGAAGGCUGUCUUGACGUCCAUUUGGUAAAUAGUGAAGUUCAUGUAAGAGGCAUAUGCAAGGAAGAUACAAAUAGCCUCUAAGCGAGCUACUGGAGCAUAAACCUCAGUGUAAUCAAGACCCUUGAGUUGUCGAAACCUGCGAACCACCAAUCUAGCUUUAUUUCUGUCACACCCCGGCCGUCGGCGGAAACACUGGGUAGUGUAACGUCAUUUUUCGUAUCACAGUUAUAUAACACACAUUGAACAAUACUUAAAGAAAACACAUACCUUUAUUGAUGUUUGAAAGUUACAUUACCGUUUUCCUAGUAUUUAUUACAUAAUAUCCGACUAUGACAUACUUCUUAAUGAACAGAAAGAUAAUAGUAAAACUUCUUCUGCUCGAAUACAUACCAGCUUUUCAAGUUCCUGAAAACACAUGCAUUUUAAAAUACGUCAACAUAAAGUUGGUGAGUCCACAGGUUUUGACUCCAUAAAAUAAUACAUUUGUACACAUUCAAAAGUAUAGUUUUGAAAGUAUCAUUUUGACUCUCCAACAUUAGGUAUAAUGGUAUACUUAUCAAUUAAGUGUUAUACCUAAACAUUUCUUAAUCUUAAGGUAUAAGUAGGGGAAAACUUAUACUUAACGUUAAUACUUGUAUAUGACAAGGUAUAAUGUUUCUAACAAUUUGCUACCAUGAGCCUGUAAUUGCUGCUAUGACAUAAUACCUCUGAUAGAACAAUACACUCAUGAUUUACCAUGAGAACAAAUACACUCAUGAUUUAAUACGAGAACCAACACCGUACGCUUCAUCGACGCCGAAAUAAUAACAAAUAAAAGGAUAGUUCAUCACUUGUUUUUGGUUGACGGUAGCUAACAGUCACAAGUGGGGUGGUCAGCCCGUAUACUAAUUAUACACGACUUCCUCGCUCACAUGGGAUCAACGGUUACAGUUCAGAGGAUUUCCACUAAGAUCCCUAAUCUUAGUUGAUGAAUACAAUUACUCAUGUAGACUUUGACGACUUCCUAUAGCUCUAACAAAAAAAGCAUCUUCAUGUCUAAAACCUUAAGUUACUAGACUUUGCUUUUGAACAUUACUCCUAACUUCAUAAUAUUUAGGCAGUAUAAUAGCUAUAUCUUGAAGUAAAACCAGGUUUUAUAUUGACCUAAAACCAAUAAUAACAACAUAUAACGUUUCUAGUUUUAUCUUGACAUAAAACUAUCAAUAACAAUACCAAGUUUUAUCUUGACAUAAAACUAACAAUAACAACAUAUAAUAUAUCCAGUUUUAUCUUGACAUAAAACUAUUAAUAGCAACAUACUUAACAUUUAGAACUUUCGAAUAUUACUUCGGUAUUAUAUCGCACACAACAUAUAUAUAGAAUCCUAAGUAUAACUCAAGAUCUACAUUAGUAAAUUAACAUACUGAUAAGUUAAUAAUAGUUGUAUGUAUUCAAAAUGUUAUAUUUAGAACAAUCAUAUCUCGAUUAUCAUAACUAUAUACUAUCAUAUAGUCAUAAUAAUAACAUAUAUACAAUGAUUAGCAUGCGUUUUCCUCCGAAAUACUAGAAAGUGGGGCCGUGAAACUCACCCUAGUAGCGUGAUUUUAUGAUAUCUAAGCAAAACGGUCAGUGUGUGAGAUCGUCGGGGAUUGGGAUGCAAGAGGUCUUCAGCAAAUGAGAGAGGAGAAAGGAGAUCAGGUGUAAGAAUGGCUGGGGUCGAUCUUGCUAUUUAUAGUAAGAUUUUAUGACACUCACGUCGUGAGUGUCAUAAGGCUCACAUCGUGAGUCUGCCUGAUUCACUCCGUAGAUGGUAGACUUGCCAUUUGCGUCCCUAGCUUCAGAAGGUGGCCAUGACUCCUCAUGUCGUGAGUGUCAUAAAGCUCACGUCGUGAAUUUGGAUCCUAUCCUCUCGCAGCCUCUAUAUUCCGAAUUAUGACAGAAUGACUCUUCACGUCGUGAGUGUCAAAAAACUCACAUCGUGAAUUUAGUUAGUUUAGGGUUUUUAAAAGCUAAAUUUUCGGAAGGCCAUAACUUUUGCAUACGAACUCCGUUUUUGACGUUCUUUAUAUGCACGCGUAGGUAUUUACGAGUACUAAAGCUCUAUUUUAGACUUAAAUAGCUAAUUCUAAGUCUAUUUUAAAGUUCUCUUAUUAUAGAGAUUAUAGUGUUCGGUUAUCAUAACUUCUUCAUGCGAAGUCAGAUUCUGACGUUCUCUAUAUUUUUUUGGAAUCGUAUGGACGUACACUUUGAGUUGUAUCGUAAAGAAAGUUCAUAUUUGUAUUAGAAUUUAUCAUGAACUACAUAAAAUUCUUACCACAUUACUAGGUUAACAUAAUCACAUUACAUGAUUGGAAUAAUUACAUGUGAUUGUCUAUUGACCUAUUUUGACUAGUGUUACAAUUUUGCACAAUAACCCCUGAAUCAUCCUGCUUGUUGCGAUAGACCCAUCGUGUGUCAAGAGACUUUUGCCCUUUGGCAACUCAACCAACUUCCAAACCCCGAGUUUUUCAACUUGAUGUAGUUCUUCAUGCAUUGCAUCUACCCAGCUGGGCUCAUUCAGAGCCAUUUCAACAUUCUUAGGCUCUAUUUGAGAGAUAAAGCAAGAGUAAAGAUAAGUAUUGACAUCUCCACUCUGACUUCUGGUUUUAACACCGUCACCCAGCUGACUAAUGAUGUUUUCGAUCGGAUGAUCGCGUUGGAUCCUUGAAGGUAUCUCUUGGCUGAUAUCAUUAAGUGAGACAAGAAGAUAGUGAAUGGAGACACCUCCUCCAUUUGCUGAUUGAGCCGCUCCAGACGGCUCUGCUACAAACUCAUUUGAAAUGGUUUCAGGAAAGAGUAGUUCCAUAAAGUUUGAAGAGAUAGCAGAAUCAUCUUUAGACAUGAACUCUCUUUCUAUAGGAGUGAGUGGCGUAUUUUCAGCAUCAGGGGUAUCAUUUGGAGCUGGAGAUUUUGGACUAUCAGGUUAUACAGAUGACUCCCCCUCAGGCGUAGCAGAGGACUCCCCCUCAGGCAUGGCAGAGCACUCCCCCUUAGAUGGUGAAGUGGAUACCGUUGGAGGUCUGUAGACAACUUCUUCGUCUUCGUCUUCAGAAACAUUCUUCGACCCGAAGACACAUUUAUUGAUUUGAAAAGCGAUGUGUAAUCAAACAACCAAUCCGGACCCACUCUAGCAUCCGUCUCAUUUUCUUCCAACCAACGCAUGUCAUAAGAUUCCACAAUCUGCUUUGUCUUCUUAUUAUAGACCCUAUAAGCGGUGCGAGCGACAUACCCUACGAAGUAACAAUCAUUAACUUUGGCAUUAAACUUCGGGUUGGUCUCUUGGUGAAGAAGGGUGCAAGGGAAGCCAAAUACACGAAAAUGACUGACUGAAGGCUUGUGACCAUAUAGAAUCUCAUACGGGGUCUUCAUCUAUGCUUUGUUGAUCAACACGCGAUUCUGAACGUAGAAAGCAGUGUUUAUCGCCUCGGCCCAAAAGAAAACUGGUAGUUUGGAGUCACACAGCAACGUCUUUUAAAGUUCGGUUUCUCCUCUCAGCAACACCAUUUUGUUGAGGGGUGUGAGCGGAGCUGUAUUGACGCAUAAUACCCUUUUCUAUGCAAAAAUGAUCGAGAAUAGAAUUCUUGAACACUGUUCCGUUGUCGGUAUGAAGCGCCUUCACUCGGUUGUUAGUUUGGUUCUCAAUUAACACAAUGAAUUUCUUAAUCAGAUCAACAACUCCAACUUUGUGGAUAGAAAGAAAACCCACGUAAAAUGAGAGAAAUCAUCAAUCACAGCCAGUCAAUAUGAAUUUCUAUUUAUACUAAGAAUGUUAACUAGUCCAAAUAGAUCCAUAUGUAGUAAUUGAAGCACCUGACUGAUUGAGUUGACCUGUUUUGGCAGGUGUGGUUUUCUGUGAUGCUUACCUUAGGCACAUGACACACACUUUUCAAAAGUUAUAAAGUCUUUGACAGGAAAACCACAGACCAUCUCAUUAUUUUCAAGACGAUUCAAGUUCUUGGCGUUAGCAUGAGCAAGUAUUUGGUGCCACAACAUUGCAUAUUGUUCUGAGAUCUUUGAAAAGAGGCAUGUAACUUGUUGUGGAAGAUUGUUAUUCAUAUCAAUGUUGUAAGAAUUCCUAUCCCUUUUAGAUUUUACAAGAAUCCAAUCUUUUGGAAUGACAAAGCCUAGCUUGAGAAUCAUGCAUUCCUUAUCAGUGAAAUGCGAAGAAUAGCCUUUAUCGCAUAUCUGAGAUACACUCAACAAACUAUGCUUCAAUUCAGGAGCAACGUUGACAUUUUCGAAACUUAACACCCCAUUUGUGACGGUUCCUUUUUGAGUGAUUUUGCCACCUUCUCCACCCGCAAAGGAAAUAUAUCCCCCAUUGAAAGAUUGAAUGUUAUGCAGUUGGGCGAUAUCUCAUGUCAUAUGCCAGGAGCAGCCGCUGUCGACGAACCAAGUUCUGACGACAUUCCCCUGCAACUGUCCUUGCAAAAUGUGCGAGCUUAUUUAUAUUUGGGAACCCAGGUCAUUAUUUUCCUAGGUUGUCCUGAUGCCUUUUCAGAUCUAUCAUUAUUUAAUAACUUUUCAGAGGACACAGAUGAUGGAUUGGAUGCUUAUUUGGGCAACCAUUGAUAAUUAGGUUUUCUAACAGUCCCGAGUGAUUUUGAAAUAGGAUUUUUAUAAGUUUUCUUGGAGCACUUGGGUUUUCUUCCAGAAUUGGUUGAAGACCCAUUGCUGAUUCUUUACGAAACGGACCUUGGCUUGGCCAUGUUCGGUUUUGGAAAACUGCUUGGGACUUUGUUAUGAAUGACCAUUUUAUGCUUUUGAAAAACAGCCCGUUUUCUACUCCGAUCGUCCUUCCAAUCAUCAUUUUGAGAACGAUUUCUAGAGGAUUUUCUAGUUAAAGACCUUCCUCUGAAUUCGUUCUCUUCUCUUGGCGACACAAAAUAUACAAACAUUCGAUUAGGACAAUUUCUAGCUAUAUGGCCACCAAUACCACAAUUGAAACAAAUCUGUUUGUUAUUGUUAAAACUUGUACUACAUUUUUCAGAUUUGUUUUCCAUACCAACACCCUUUCUUUUCUCACAUGAACAUGAACAAGAAUUAGGUUGUGAGAUAAGUGAGGGUGCAUCAAAUGGAGAAACUUGUGAAACUGGUGUUUUUUCAUUAUUAUCAUCACAAACAUUAGAAUUACCAACCACAUCAUUAAACGCUUUAAAACCAUUCAAAACAGUAUCAGAAAGUGUAGAAACAUCACAAAAAACAUUGUCACUUGCAACAUCAGAAAAAUUAAAGUCUUUAUUUAAAACUAAAACUUCAGGUUCAGACUCAGUUUUAUUUUCAGAAACAAAUCCUUCAACUUCGUGCUUUGACUGAUUCAAGGAUUGAUCUGCAGUAGAUGUAGAAAUGAUAGUACUUUCAACAUUAAUAAAUCCUACCGAAACAAAACCAGAUGGCUUGCCAUAAACCAUGGAUGGUUCAUUGGCAAUCUCUUCCGUGGACAAAGGUUGAAACCAGUGUUCUAAAAGGCACGCCAUGGCGUGAGGUGUGGCUUCGCCAUUACGAAAAGCUUCAUAACGUUGCUGUUAGGCGUGGCACGUGGCAAGGCGUGAUAUGGCGCGCCAUGGCGUGUUAUGGCAUGUUAUGGCGCGUGUUUUUUCGUUUGAGACACAGUUUUUUACUCUUUGUUAUGUCUUUUCAAAUAGGAGAUCCAUGUAUUGUGGUUUAUGUUAACUUUUUGUUAUUAGUUAUUGAUCUAACACCUCUAAAAAGUAGUUAUAUUUACUAUAAAUUUAUAUUUAUGUGGUAAUAUAAUUUUAAAUUAAUACAAAAUCGCCGCCUUACAUCAUGCCAUGAANUGAAAAACGCCAUGGCUCCCCAUGGCUCGUUAAGCUUGAGGCUUGGCCUUGCCGCCACGCCAUGCCUCACGCCAUUUAGAACCUUGGUUGAAACUGAUACGAAUGAUUGAAAGAAGGAGGCACUUGAUUAUACCCUAAACCCUUUGACUGAUUACGUUUAAAUUGCAUGUAGUGGUCUAUCAUAUCGGCAACUGCCUCACUUGAUACAUCAUAUUUUCGAAAAUCAAAAUCAGCAGUUUCAAAUUUGCCCUUUAAUGUUUCAAUUUCAACCACGAAAUCAGCGUUCUGUUUCUUUAUAUAGUCAUAAUUUUCACAUUUAUUACUAUAGUCUUCCUGAAGUCUCCUAAAGUCCUUUAUUUUAGAUUCUAACUGGGCCUUAAGAGGUUUUUUUUCCUUUUCUAAGUUGGUAACCUUCAUACCUAAGGUCCUCUACUUCCCUUUUUAGCAAGUCAUUAUGUUCGCGAAGAAUUGUAAGGUUCUCUACUUCUCUACGUAGUGUUUCAAUUUCCUCAUGGAGAAUUUUAACAUAAUUGAUACAUUCUUGAGAGCAUGAGGGUAGACUUACCUCUCUUUUCUUUGGUUCAGGAGAAGAGGAUACCAGCAUCGCAAACUGCAGCUCCAUCAUUUGAUCUUCAGCUGCAACAAUCUCAGCGGGAGCAUCAUCACCAACCUGAGCCAAAUGAGCAUUUUCAGGUCCUGAUAUGUUCAGGGCCUGCAUCUAAUCCUCCUAGUAAAAUGAUUUCGAAACCAUAGCCUUUUCGCUGUUGACCUGAGCACCGCUUCGAUUGCUUCCUACUGCAACUAUUGUCUGGUCCUUAUUCAAUCUUCUAUCCGACUGCAGACACUCACGAGCAAAAUGCUCUGGCUCGUGGCAGUUGAAACAACACAGCUUUCCCUUGUUGAACCCUACCUUCUUGUCAGCACUCAUCCCCCAGUUGUUCUUCCCGGUCUUCUUUGCAAACUGUUUUCCCUGAAAACUGCCAUGAUUUGCCAUGUGAUAUCCAUUUCUUUUACGUCUUCAUGGUGAAUUUGAUCGAGAUCAACAAAUGAAAAUUGCGGCGGAAGAUCUCCAGCUACAAGUGCAUUGUAGCAGUUAUAAAGCCCUGUAGCAAGAGCAAGAUUUUCAUCACCCUCCUUUCCAUUUGAUGAUGAAGCCACAUUGGAGGGAGAAGCAGCUUAAGUAGCCACGAAUGAUUGGUUCUGAGAGAAAGGCAUGGCUGAUGCAGCAGAAAGAAAAGAAGCUGAUGGAGUGGAAAGAGACUGAAUCUAAGCUUGCUGAGCAGCAAAGGGUUAACCUGCAGAAGAAAACGUGAGAGAUGAAAGAGCAUUGUUAGAAGAGAUCCCAAGGUUUGCAGUUGAGUAUGAAUUCACAUGAUUUAUCUCCCGCUGUCUGUCAUCAAUAUCACAGGCCUUGAUGACAGCCAUCACUUCAGUAAGAGAGAGCCGACUUAGAUCCUUAGUUUUCUUGAUAGCAGCUACAUUCAUGUUCCAUGAAUUUGGGAGAGCAUUUAGUAGCUUCUUGUUUAUUUUAGACUUGGUGUAAAAAAUCCCGGCUACAGUCAUCUCAGUGGUGAGAGUUGUGAAUCGUUGAAGCUACACCUCCAAGGUCUCACCAGGAAUGUAAUUGAACAUGUUGAACCUUUGAUGCAACAUGUCCUGGCGACUCUCCUUCAUAUCUUCAUUCCCUUCAUAUACUUCAGUUAGGGGUUCCCAUAAAGCCUUUGCUGAAGUAUACUCCCUAAAGCCUUGAGCUAUAUCCGGAGAUAGGGCUAUGGUUAGAGUGGCCAAAGCCCUUUCUUGCUCUUCAACCUUCUCAAAGUCUUCAUCAAUGUAACUCUCAAUUUUCUUAUCAACCACUUGCUCUACAACAGUGGUAGUUAUUAUGACAGGAUCUUUUAUGAUGCUUCUCCAAAUUUUGAAGUCCUUCAUUUUGAUAUACUUCUCAAUCCUGUACUUCUAAUAAGGGAAACCUUCAGCGGACAACAGUCUUGGAAUUCGAAUAGUUGUGCCCAUUACAGAAUCUAGCUCGUGGUGGUGUGUUUGACUUUGUGAAUCCAUUUAAUAUUAAUUAGAAAUUAGAUUAUUUAUUAAAAAAAUAUUAGUUUCCAGUCAAUUAACAGUUUACGGUCAGGAAUGGUUUACGGCCUUAAACUUGGUUUACGGUCGAAGUUUACGGUCGUAAAAUAAUUUACGGUUGAUGAGUACGGUUGUUGAAGAUGCUCCUUUUACGGCCUAAGAACCAAGCUUGUGGUUCAAGAACAAGUAAGUGUUUGCGGCCGUAAUCACAGUUUACAGCCAUAAGCUUGGGCCGUGAACUACCAGAAGUUUGAGAAAACCGUGAUUUCUGAAUUAAUCUUGAAACCCUUUCGCAAUAGAAACCAAUUUCAAUCGUAAACAGUCAAAAACUCGAUUGUAUUCCGCUUUCACACUGGUUUUGCUCUGAUACCAAUUGUAAGGUCUUGAAACGGAUCUUACCAGUGAUAAUAAUAAAGAACAAAUAGAAACAAUGAUGUAAACAAGCUUGCACACGCUUCUAUUAGUGAAAACGUCUGGUACAACUUGUGGAAUAGCAGCCGAAACUCUAAGGCAUCAACAACAACUAAAUGACCUAGCACACCUCUAUAUAUACGGGACCUGGGCCAGUCUUGGGUUUACGGCCGUAAACUCAUAGCUGGCCAUAAACUACACAAAAGCUACCAAAACUUGCAUAUUGACUCAAAAGAACCUAUUACAAAUGAAAGCCUAGAUCAAACCAUUAAAUGGACCCUUCAGUAACUAAGAUUGGGAAUUUUUAAUAAUGUUUAGUUACUUUAUAAUCAUUAUAUUUAUAAUGAGAAUUAAUGUCCUAUCCUACCCGUUCAGAUAACGACCCUCUAUCAGUCAAGGAAGCGGUGGGUGAGAGUGGACACCUAUUAAACUGCCAUUUUAUAGGCAGUAACCUUAUACCCCCUUACAGACCGACUUCGUGAAUGAGGCCUACUAAUGGUAAGACCGACUUUACUCUUAUAAAUAAAAAUAUUAAACCUAUAAUAUUAUAAUAAUAUAAGGGUUGAAUUGUAAUUUUUUUUUAAAAUUAUAGGGUUUGGAACUAAAUGUUUCAAAAGUUAGACUUUUACAUUUUACAAAUCCCAAAGCUUGAGGGCAUGUUUUGUAACUUUCAAAACUUUUGGAAUGCAUAACUUAUGAGUUUAAUAUAGGUUUAAAUGAAAAGACUCUUGAAAAUCCAUAACUUGAGGACAAGUUAGGGAGUUCAUAAUACCAUUUAUGAGAAAAAGACUCUUCAAGUUCAUAACUUAUGACUUUAAUGAUUUCUUCAAAAAGAAAACUUUUCAUUUUCCAUAACUUGAGGACAAGUUAUGGAAUUCAUCAAAAUCAUUUAGAUCAAAAAUUCUAACAAGAAAAUCAAACAAUUUGUCUAUGAUCUAAAUUAAACUCAUAAGAACGUGACAAUUCAAAUCAAACAAAUUUCAUGUAAUUAGCCUAACCAUAUAAACUAAUACAAAACAUGAAACUUUGAAAAUUAUCUUUUAAAUUCGAUAAGCGUGAUCAUUACCACAUCAAAAACAGGUUUAUAACUUCAAAAACAGUUUAGGGUAAUGAUCCUAGUCCAGUUCCAGCCAAAAAACUCGAAAAUUGCACUCUGGGGAACCAACUCGUCGAGUGCAAGAGCUGACUCGGCGAGUUGGAUGACUUUGUUAGGUGACUCGUCGAGCCCACUGUUUAGACAACAAAAAAUCAAAAUUUUUAAGAAACUAGCAUCAACGAUAUUGGAAAACAACCCUAGGCUCUAAUACCACUGAAGGGUUUUGAGCAUUCUAACACUCCUAUGGUGUACAUGAAAUGCUACAUACUUUCGAUCUGUGUUUUCUCUAAUAUACAUGAAAGCUUUAAAUAUUCCAAAGCAUCAUCCUAACUAGCAUACACUGGAGUAACUAUACUACAAAAUUCUAGUUAGAUGAGAUACCUUUUUGUUGUAAUUGGAAUCCUUGAACCUUUAAGAGCUUAGCACCAAUAGUAUGAAUGCCUCAAAUGGAAUCACAACACACCUAAAACAAAAGGAUAACUUGAUCAAAUAUGUCUUGCACUCAUAAUCGGCUAGCUCUUCCAAAAAACACAUAUGUAAUUGAUUUCAUGAGCUAGAGGCUUGUUACAUAGUGUGGCACAUUAGGGUUACACCAUGUAAACAUUAAUAACCACGAACUUCCAUAUUCCUUAGGAUCCAUGGGUUUAAACUUCCAUGGAUUAUUGAUGGGUUAUCACAGGGGUUUAGCCCAACCUAAGGAAUCAUGGAUCAUUGGCCCACACCAUAACAAGGAAUGAUUUACCAAUCAACCCCUUAUAUUUAAUUAGUCUCUAUUGAUCACAAAAUUAAUUCCAAAUUAAUUCUUAAUCAAUACUAAUUAAAUAAUAUGAUUUCAUAUUAAUAUAUUAGCUUAUAAUAUAUUAACAAAUCAUAAAUAACCUCUUCUCAAAAUUCCAUCCUAUCAAAUUGUCCAGGUGAUAUGCAACCCAAAUGGACCAUACUACUCUUGGGUCAAAUACAUACCAAUUAUAGUUAUGGGUAUAAACACCUAAUCCAACAUGGGUGGGGCCUGAUGACUGGGUGGAGUCCAUUAUAUGUUUUGUUAUGUAUGGUAUGAGGUAUCUUGGGGAACUCACUAAGAUUUAUUCUUAUGGUUUUUAGUUUAUGUUUCAGGUACUUCGGUUUUCAAAAGGUAGAGCUCGGGUUGACUGCAUGGCACGCACACUUCUUGUUCCAUAUUUGACUUGUUUUGGGAUUUAUACUUUAAUAUAAUGUAUCGGUUUUUUAAAAAAGUAGUUGAUGAUCCUUCUUAUAUAAAUAAAACAAAAUUUUAUGUCAACAUAUUUGGGACGUUUCAAGUGCUAUCAAAGCCUUGGUUUGAGGGAUUCGUACAUACUCUCGGGUGUGUCUGAACUCAAACUGAAGAUUUGGUAAACUUUGCAAAAGAACAAUAUUUUCAAGAAAAGAGUUUUCUAAGAAAAGAAGAGGGUGUGGUGCAUGCAAUCAGUCGAGCUCAAUUUCUGCAUGUUAGAAUGCUAGGAGAGAUUCCUUGUUUGCCUAUUAUAUGAACUUGUUUACUAGAAUGUUAAUUCUGAUUAGCCAGUGAUAGGUUGUCCUAUUAGGUGAUGUAUGGUAGCCUAGGAAGCAUGGGAUGCUAGAUUGGGUUCAAUUUGGAUGCGUGGGUAGUCAGUAGUGGGAGUGGGAGCUCCUUGUAUGAGUUGUAGUAUGUGGAAUUGGAGUGUACUGCAUGAAUGUUGCUUGCUUUGUGCUCUGUGGAACUCCUAAGUGAUGGGAGUUAACCACUAAGUGAAUAUAUCAAGUCACAUGUAACAAAGGUUGAAUAAUCUCAGAGUGAUGGAUUUGAACCUAUUGUGCAGCUCUUGUAUGGAUCUGACCAUUGUAGGGAUGAGUCUGUUACUUGAAGGAUUAUCUAAGCUUUGUUGCAUGUGAUUGUAUUCAUGAGGUGGGUGAUUGGCAUUAUGAGGUGUUCUUUAGUAGCUGAUGGCAGGGUGAGGUCGAGGACCUAGGAAAGCCUAAGGAUUGCUUCAGUGGGAUUUGUUGCACCGUUUAGCGAGUGUUGGUGUACAAAUUUGUGAAGGUGAUUUAGAGGAUUCAGGAGGAUUCUUGAGGAAAGUAUGGAUAAGCGUUGAAGUAGUAUUAGGCCUCUACUACUGAAAGCACAGGAUCCAUACUUGAAUCGGGGAGAGUCUUGGAGAAUCUAGGAACCCUGCGGGAUAAAGAUUCUUGGGAAUAUUCAGAUCUAUUGUGUGUCGUCUCGGUAUGGUGUCGAGCAAUCAGGAAUGGGGUUCAGAUUCUGGUUCUGGCUCAGUAUCAGGUACUGAACCGAUCAAGGCGCGGAUGCAGGACGUUAUCUCAUUGGAGGUUACUCAUGGUAUUUUAGAGUGGACCUUGGUGGUCUUAGUUUCAGCUAAGUAAGGGAUUUUGGAGUUCUUUUAUGGUCAUUUCGGGGCCUUUUAGGUCGAGAUUGUGGUAGGGUAGUUGGGAGCUCAUCGGGAGGCCAAGGCUUGGAGGAUAUUAUGGUUGGUUCUUGUCAGUUGGCAUCAGAGAGGAGUUAUGUACCAUGUGUUGGAUAAGGUGUCUAAGUCCAUAACUAUUUCUGGUAAAUACUUGACCCGACACGGCACGUUGGAUAAACUAAAUGAGAGAAAUAACACAUAUGGUUUAUUAAUAUAUUAUAAGUUCUAAUAUAUUAAUAAUAUUAUUUAAUUAGUUUUGAUCAAGAAUUAAUUUAGAAUUAAUUAAGUGAUCAAAAGAAUAACUAAUUAAAUAUAUGGGUAGAUUAUGUAAAUCUUCCAUAUCUUAUAUAGUGGGCUAAAAGGCUCCAUGGAUUACCAAGUUGGGUUCCACCCAUAGGAUGCUCCAUGGAUGAUCCAUGGAGUUAACCCAUGGAUUGAGAAAUGAAGAGUCAUGUUACAUUAGGGUUUUACCUAAUGCAACACACUAUAUAAGGACCAUGUCUCUCCCCAAAAUCGGCUACACUAGAGAAACAAGAGGGCUUGGCCGAUUUUGAGUGUGUUAGAGUAUUCUCUCAAGUUUAUACUUUGCAUUUGGUGUUGUGUGAAGCAUUUGAGGCAUCACACUUGAGGUGCUAGGCUCACAAGGUUUCAAGGAACACUUACAACAACAAGGUAUGUAGUUCUAUCUAUUAUUCAAGUUAAAAUUGUUCCCCAUGUAUGCUAGAUAGGAUCAUAGCCAUGGAAAUCAACUUUGCAUGAUAAUUAGACAAACAUAGAUCGAAGGUUAUUAUGGUUGCAUGUACACUUAGGAAGUGUUAGAAUGCUCAAAACCCAACAGUGGUAUUAGAGACUAGUUUUUUUUGUUUGUUAUUUAAGCUAAAUAGUUGAAAAAAGUCAAAAUUGUUGCAAUCUGACUGAUGAACUCGCCGAGUCCAUGGGGGGACUCGCCGAGUUCAUGUGAAUCUUCAACCGACUCGCCGAGUAGGUUCAUGCACUCGACAAAUAGGAGCCUCAGAAUGCAGAUUUUCGACUUUAGUUGCUGGAAAUGGAUUAGAAACAUUACCCUAAACUGUUUUGGUACUUGAAAACCUGUUUUAGAUGGUGUAAUGUCUUUGCUUNUAAUCCAUUUAAAACAACAAAUUAUCAAAAUUACAAGUUUUUAAGUGUAAUUUUUGAUUCAUGAAAGUGUUCAUAUUCAUGUUCUUGAUCUUAUGAUGUUUAGAUGAUCAUAUGAAUUAUUUGUAACCUAUGUGGUGGAUUAAUUCAUGAUCAUUAUGUUUUUUAAUGGAGUCCAUAACUUGUCCUCAAGUUAUGGAAAACCAAAAGUCACUUUGUUUAAAAACCAUUAAAAGAAAACAUGGGAUAUAAAAAUGAAGAGUCUUCAUUUUUAAUACCCUAAUAAACUCAUAUGUUACAAGAAAUGAAAAGUUUUGAAAGUUUACAAAACUUGCCCUCAAGUUUUGGAACAAGUAAAGUCUUGAUUAAAACUUUAGUUCCAACCCUUAGAAUUUUAAAAGUUAAAAUUCAACCCUUAUACUUAUAAUAUUAUAAGUUAAUAAUAAUAUAUAUAUGUAUAAGAUUAAAGUCGUCUUACCGCUAGUACGCCUCAUUCACGAAGCCGGUCUAUAAGGUGGGUAUAAGGUUGUUGCCUAUAAAAUGGCAACUUAAUGGGUGUCCACUCUCACCCACCGCUUGCUUGACUGGUGGAGGGUCGUUAGCCGAACGGGUAAGACAAGGACUUAUAAAUUCUCAUUAAAAGUAUGAUGAAUAUUAUAAAGUAACUAAAUGUUUUAUUAAAUUCCCAAUCUUAGUUACUUUAGGAAAAAUGUGAAUAAGGUGCUAAUCCAUGAAAUUACACUUUACACUUUGACUAAGUCGUUAGUGGAGCGUGUGUGGUUAACCGACACACUAACUUGGACUUAACAAGGUAGGGAAAGGGUGACUUAAUAUUUGUCAUAGUAUCGAUGGAGCGUUUGUGGUUAACCGGCAUCUCGAUUGAGGGGUAAUUCAUUAAGGGUACCAAGUAAUUUGCAUGCAUACUUCACACCUCGUUUUAUGAUCCUCGGCAUCCCAGUCACCAAACUUGGAGGGCACACUCGAGAUUGAAACAUGCCUUUGAAAAGUUCAUUGAAUCUCAAAGGAACUAGGAAUUUCUAAGAACCAAUCAAAAACCUAAUAUUUAAUAUUUCGGUUUUCGUGGUGGAAAUUGGUGAAUCGUCAUUCACCUACCUUUCAAAUAUGUUAUAGCUUGGAUUACGGCAUACCUCUUCUAAGUUAUAAUAUAUUGUGAUUGGAUCCUAGCCUUAAUAUUACAUUUGGGUGUUUUAUUAAGGACUCUCUUAAUAUCUAAACUAAUCUUGUCCUCUUCCUUCAGAUGUCUUCAAACAAUGCUGCUUCUGGCUCUAAUCCUAAUGGCUCCUUUACCCUUAUGAACUUGUGUGGGAAAGUCACUUUUGAUGGAUCCAACUUCAAUGAAUGGAUCAGAAACAUCAGGAUGAUUACCCGCUACGAGGACAAAGAAUAUGUCCUUGACAAGGAGCUUAAGGAGAUUGAUGAGACCACUGCAACUCCUCAGGAGAUCGCUGACUUUCGGGCACAUGAAAGGGAUGCUACGAAAGUGGCUUGCAUCAUGAUGGCCACGAUGACAGCGGAACUCCAAAAGUCUUAUGAGGAUUUCUACCCUUAUGAAAUGCACCAAGAUUUGAUGGAAAGAUACCAUCAAAGUGCACGACAAGAGAGGUAUGAAAUCAUCUGCUCCAUGAUAACAACCAUGAUGAAGGACGGGGAAUCCGUCAUGAGCCACAUGCAGAAAAUGCAAAGGUAUGUGGAUCGUUUGCUGAAGCUUAAUGUGAACUUCCCUGAGGAUCUUGCAAUAGAUAUCAUUUUGCACUCCUUACCAUCGUGCUAUGAUCAAUUCCGCAUGACAUAUCACAUGAAUAAGGAAGAGGUCACACUCAGCAAACUUCAGGGACUUCUCAAGACCGCAGAAACAGGUCUUAAGGGGAAGUCGGUUGUUAACACUCCUACUCCAAACUCUACUCCGGUUUUGGCAAUCGGGAAAAGUCGAGGGAAGAAGAGAAAGAGCUCUUCUAAGGGUACCAAGGCUCGGACCCUUGAUGGCUCUUCUUCAAGUGGAACCAAGAAAGGUUUCAUCACUCCUUCUUCUGACCCAAAAGAGGCUGAAUGCUUCUAUUGCCAUGAAAAAUCUCAUUGGAAGCGGAACUGCCCAAAAUACCAGCAAGAUGUGAAGGAUGGGAAAGUUAAACCCAACCAUGCAGGUAUUUACACUAUCAUUUCUAAUAACUCACCCCAUUCUAAUUCUUGGGUCCUUGAUACCGGUUGUGGUAUUCAUAUUUGUUGUGACUUGCAGGGACUAAGAAGAAGUGAGGAUGUGGAGCAAGGAAGGAUAAACUUGAUCAUGGGGAAUAGGAAAGCUAUACCUGUUACCAAGAUUGGAGUUUAUACUUUAUCGCUAAGUAGUGGGUUUAGUUUAGAUUUGAAUAAGUGUUGUUAUUCGCCAGGAAUGGCAAGAAAUAUUAUUUCCUUUCAUGCUUUGUACAAACAAGGGUUUACCUUUUCAUUUAAUAAUGAAGUUGGUUCUAUUGAUGCUUUCUUUAAUAAUGUUCUUUAUUUUAAAGCAUUACCUUGUGAUGGUGUGUAUGAAGCUGUAUCUGUUGUAGAUAACUUAGGAAAUAAUGUUUUGUGUAUUGAUUCUACUAAUAAUAACUUGGAUAAAGCAUCACUAUGGCAUUGUCGUCUUGGACAUAUAAGCAAGAAACGCAUAGGCCAACUCCAAAAGGAUGGAGUCUUGGAGUCUUUUGACCUAAAGUCUGAUGAUAGUUGGUAAUCAUGCUUACUUGGAAAAAUGACAAAGUCACCCUUCACAAGUUCUUGUGAUAGGGGUGAAGGUUUGUUGAACCUUGUACACAUGGAUGUGUGUGGACCAUUCAAACAUGCCACAAGGGAUGCUAAUCGUUAUUAUUUGACUUUUACUGAUGAUUAUAGUAGAUAUGGAGAUGUCUACUUAAUCAAGCAUAUGUCAGAGACUUUCGAAAGGUUUAAGGAAUUUAAACAGGAAGUCGAGAAUCAAUUGGGUAGGAACAUUAAGAUGCUUCGAUCCGAUCGAGGUGGUGAGUAUCUUAGUUCAGAGUUCCUCGACUAUCUAAAGGAAUGUGGGAUUGUCUCACAAUUGACACCUCCCAGGACACCGCAAUUGAAUGGUGUAGCUGAGAGGCAUAAUCGAACCUUGUUGGACAUGGUUCGUUCCAUGAUGAGUCGAGCUUCGCUACCAAUCUCAUUCUGGGGGUAUGCCUUAGAGACUGCCGCCCAUAUUCUUAAUCUAGUCCCUACAAAGAAAGUUGCCAAAACUCCUCACGAGAUGUGGACUGGU